rnacentral:lncRNA from 1 species
UUUCAUUUUUAUACCCCUAAGUAGCCGACUCGGGAUACUGCUAUCUGGUCUCGGUGGUAGGGCGCUAACUACGGAGCUACGCCCUUGCCUCGCGCCGCCGCGCCGCUCACGUGCGAACCUGUAACAACCCAAAACAACGUGGGGUGAGAACAAACUCCAUGGUUCCCAGUGGNCGUGCUUCCUUGGUACGGCCGAACGAAAGAGAAAAGGAGAGAAGAGAGGAGAUAAACUCCUCUCUCUCUCUUCCCUGCAUGCAUAAAAGAGGGGGGGGAGGUGAUGCCACAUGGCAUUACACAUACUCACACAUGUGCACUCACACACACACACACACGUACCCUCACACACACACUUAUAUAUAUAUACUAAGUGUAGGGAUACUAGUAUACUACACAAAUCGAGAUCAAAAUGGGGAUUUCUUUAGACCCCAAAUCAAAUUGCAAAAUUAAAAGGGGAUUUCUUCGGACCCCAAUUCAAAUUAGAAUCAAACGGAAAUUUCAUCGGACCCCAAAUUGAAUUGCAAAAUAAAAAGGAGAUUUUUUUGGACCCCAAAUCAAAUUGCAAAAUUAAAAAGGAAUUUCUUCGAACCCUAAAUCGAAUUGCAAUCCUUUUGAACCCAAAUCCAAAUCAAAUCCAAUCGAAAACCACCACAAAUAAAACCCGAACCCAAAUCCAAAUCAAAUCCAAUCCAAUCCAAACCCAGAACCCAAAUCCGGACUCAAAUCCAAACCCAAAACACAAAUAAAACCGGAACCCAAAUCCAAAUCAAAUCCAAUCCAAACCCAGAAGCCAAAUCCGGACUCAAAUCCAAACCCAAAACACAAAUAAAACCUAAACCCGAAACUCAUGUCAAGUCCACAAAUAAAAUCCAAACCAAAAUAAAGAACCCAAACCCAAAAUCCAAAUCAAAUCCCCAAACCAAAACAAAGUCUACAAAUAAAAUCCAAAACCAAAUCAAGUCCACAAAUAAACCCAAACUUGAACCCAAAUCAAAUCCAAACCCAAACAAAAUCAAGUCCACAAAUAAACCCAAACCCAGAACCCAAAUCAAAUCCAAACCCAAAUCAAAUCAAGUCCAUAAAUAAAACCCAAACCCAGAACCCAAAUCAAAUCAAGUCCACAAAUAAAAUCCAAACCCAAAACCCAAAUCAAAUCCAAACCCAAACCAAACCAAGUCCACAAAUAAAACCCAAACCCAAAACACAAAUAAAAUCCAAACCCAAAACCCAAAUCAAAUCCAACCCAAGUCCAUACACCAAACCUCAUAAACCAUAAACCAAGUUCAUGAACCACCAAGCCCAUAAACCAUGAACCAAAUCCCACAUCCUAUGUACCAAGUUCAUGAACCAUACACCAUAUUCCAUGAACCAUACCCAAGUUCAUAAAUUAAGUCUCAUGAACCAUAAACCAAAUCCAAUAAGCCAAGUUCACGAACCAUACACCAUAAACCAUGAAUCAUACCCAAGUUCAUGAACCGAGUCUCAUGAACCAUAAACCAAACCUAUAAACCAUACACCAAGUUCAUAAAUCAUAAACCAAGUUCACGGACCAUACCUUAUGAAUCAUGAACCAUGAACCAAAUGAACCAAGUUCAUGAACCAUACGCCAUGAACCAUAAACCAUACACCAUGAACCAUAAACCAUACACCAAAUUCAUAAACCAUAAACUAUGAACCAUAUCCAUGAACCAAAUCUCAUGAAUCAUACACCAUAUCCCAUGAACAAUGCCCAAGUUUAUGAACCAAAUCUCAUAUACUAAACCCAAUAAACCAUAUUCAAGUUCAUAAACCAAAUCCAAUACCCAAAUCUCAUGAACAAUAAACCAAGUUCGUGAACCAAAUGAAUCAAGUUUAUGAACCAUAAACCAAAUCCUUAAACCAAGUCCAUAAACCUCAUGAACCACGAACCAUGAACCAAGUUCAUAAACCUCAUCCAUGAACCAUAUCCAAGUUCAUGAACCAAAUCCCAUACACUAAAUCUCAUGAACCAUGAACCAUAUCCAAGUUCAUGGACCACACCUAUGGACCAUAUACCCAACCUCAUGAACCAUACACCAAAUACUAUAAGGCAUACACCAAACCAUAUCCAAAUCUCAUGAACCAUAUUCAUGAACCAAAUCUCAUGAGUCAAUACCUAAAUCCCAUGAACCAUGUAUCAAGUUCAUGCCCAAAGUUCAUCAUGAACCUUUUCUUUACUCUAGUACAUAUACCUAGAGUAAAAAAAAAAAUGAAUAUCGGCUACCCCUAAUACAUAUACUUAGGGCUAAGUCAGCUCCAUCGCCUCAGCACAUAUAACUAAGGCAAAAUCAUCCCCAAACUGACAGAAGUUCUCACUUUUACAAUGUAAAAUCGCCUGAUUUGAACAUUGCUAAUUCGGCGAUUGAACUUGUCCAAGAGGGGAGACAGUCGGACUGUCUCCAUCGCGACCUCGUCCCUCGGCUUGACACUGCUUUGUCUUCCUAAGCGAAAACCGAGUUCUAAAUUAUAUACAUAGAAUUUAGUCAAAUGAUAUCAAGUUCAUUCGAACUCUAAUAUAUAUGCUUAGAGUUCAUCCGACUAACCCUAACACAUAUCCUUAGGGUCUAUACUACCUAUUGCUCUAGCACAUAUAUCUAGAGUCGAAGUCAAACCAAGCUCGACUGGUCCUAACACAUACACUUUGGGUCUAGUCAGCCUUUUGCUAUCUACCUAGAGUGAAAUUCAUACCUAAUUGAGCUUUAGAUUUGGUCAACUUGACUAGGCUGGCUGGCUCAAAUCCGAUAAAUUGUAAAGAAGUCCUUCAAAAUUGUUAUGGCACUUGCAUCCAAUUUGGUAUAAUUUAAUCUUGUCCAGACCAAUUUGAACAAUUUGAUUGAAUGGUUACAUUUUAUCAAUUGCGGUUCGGCUUGAGCCACUUUAAAUUCAACUACAAUCUGAAAUUGCUAAGUAACAAAUUAAAUCCAAAAUUUGUUUGUUAUCAUCAAAUUUUAUUAUUGGAUAAAAUCCAACAACUAUUUGAUUUAGGAAUUGCUCUAUAAUUAUAGUAGUAUCAUUCAUGAGUAGUGGACCUUCUAUGAGUGCGUUGAGAACUUGGUAUUGGUUAUUUGUGAUCUUUUGAUCAUCACAUAGACUCUACAAAUGCCACAUUGAGCAUGACAAAGUUACGUGCUAUUAGACUCGGUAGGGGUCAUUUCCCUCAAGUGUCGCUCCGGAUGCUGGCCAGCAUAGCAAAGAUAGUAGCCUAAAUGUGUAAGGACUGAGAUUUUGGCAGUGUAGCUAAACUCUCUGUUGAUGAUGUUUUUGUGUGUAAUUUAAUUACAUAAGCACUCGUCAAGUUUCAGGAGAAAACGAGUUAGAAUAGAGAAGUUACGCGAUAAAUACUAAUCACUUAAAGUGAAUAGUAACUCCGAUUUUUCAGAGAGGCUGAUGAGUAGAGUUGGCUUCUAGCGUGUAUCGGACUCGAUUCAUAGCUAUCCAAUAGCUCGUUUUGAAUGGUUCAGCUAUUCUGGACCAAUGGCACUGACGGAUUUCAGAUUUGAUGCACGAUUUGCGAGAAAAACUGGAAAUACGUAGAUUGUAUGUAUCUGUGUGUAAUUUUGCCAUUUGGAGAGAGAUCGGGUUUCGUCGCAAAUCCGUGACCAAACGAGGUGAAACAAAAUCAAAAGUUUGAUGUCUCUGUCGUGCAGAUCGUACUGGUGCAGCCCAUUCGCAAAUCUGACGGACGGAUCGCUAGAUAUCAUGCGUUUAUCAAGGAAGGGUCCAAUGGAUCAUUUUCGUAUUUCACGCGAAACCCCUAUAUUUUAUGUACCGAAUCGAGUGAAAUCAAACAUGGGGGUAUGUAAUCGUAUGUGACUCGCACAGUGAGGGACUCAGAUUAAAAUACUGAGUUUGGGAGGACUUUAGCACAAAUUGCAAUUGGUAUAUAUGUGCUAUUUAGGGUUUUCCUAGCCUAACCCUAACCCUAGCUAACCUAUUACCUCGACUGCGCCCCCAGCAAACUCCACCAGGUCUCUGCCCUAACCGUGCUCGCACCCCAGCCGCCGGUGAGUGAUUCCAGCCACCGGAAAAGUCAGCGUUCCCUUUCCCCCAUAGUUUCCAACAUCACCUCCCUUUACCCUUGCUUAUGCUGCUGCCAUAGUGGCCCCACACCCUUGGGCUCCACCUCUGACAGCAAGGCCCGACCCCGGCGACCAUCCCCGUCGGUCGCCGCCGCCCCCGAGCGCCGCCAUCGCCGCCCUGCCAUGUUGCGGCCAGCUAGGCCGAGCUCAGGCCGAGCUGGGUUGCAACAGCUGCCCACGUGCCACAGCCGCCAGGGGCCGCUGCUGCCGCCUUCCCCUGAGCCCCGGUGACCUCCUCCGCCGGCCAUAGCCCUCCCCGCGCGCCGCCGCGGCCACCCUGACAAACUGCGACCAAGGCAAGCGAGCUCGGACCGAGGCAACUCCAGAUCUUAGCCCGUGCGUUGCCACCGUCCAGGAUCGGCCGUGCCACCUCCCUCCGGCCUCCGAAGACCCUUCUCCAUCGCCCGGAGCUCCCCCAGCUGUCGCCGUGGCCGCCGCUGCUCCCUGUGCCCGAGCUUGGCUCAUGCGUGCUCGGCUUGCUCUGCCACCGCCGCCUUCCGCCGCCGGCCAGCGUGAGCGCCGGCUCUGCCUGGCCGGCCACACCCGGCCACUGCCGACGCCCCGGUGCCGGUGCUCCCUGUUGGGAGGGCUGGACCCAUGCUCUCCACGGGUUAGUGGGGCUAGGGCAUCAGUGCCCGUCGUCCCCGCCGCCUUCCAACGCCGGCCGACGCGCGCCCCGGCCUCCCUCAGUUGCCCACACCUGCCUGCCGCCGGAAUGCCCGCCUCCUGGCUGCGCUGGCCGUGCCCGAGCUCCCCAUGGUCCGGUAAGCUAAUUUCAGCUGUUUGGUUACUGUUACGGGGUUGGUUGCACUAUUCUGAUGAUCCGAGUUCACCCCGACGCCUCUGGAAGUGAGCACGGUGAUCUUUGUUCAGUGCUGAUCACAGUGCUCACCUCAUUUGGGGUCAACGAGCCUCGGAUUACAGAAUUAGACGUGUUUUAGUUUCAGUGCGCGCAGUUCGCAGAUUUUCGUGUCGCUCCCACGCUCUCCACAGUGGUCGGCCAUGCUCCAAAGUGUGAGCACAGCCUGCGGCAUGCCGAAACCUGUCAGCGGAUGUCUCGGCUUGACUGAAUGAUCAUCGGUUGCGCUGUCGAGCCAUAAAAUCCCGAAAAUCGCAUAAAAUAAUGUGAUUUCAUGUAAUCGGGGGAGUUUUUAUGCAUUUGUGCUUAGUGUGAUUGCUGUUGGCAGUGUGUGUGGGUAGCGGGUGGCCUCUGGACUGAUUGUCCAAUGCCCCAGGCCCUUGCGGAGAUUGGAAAUUGAUUUUCAGUGCGUUCGUCGGCAAAAAUCCGCCGACGGAACGUGUUUUCGGUUCGGAAUUAUUCCGACGGUGCCUUGUGACAUUUUAUGUCAUCGCUGAGCCUUGUUGGCAGGUCACCCACGUCGUUUCGAGGGUUCAGAAAUGACGGGUGAGCAACGGUGGGUUCCGGUGUCGAAUUGGACACUUCCGGGAACCCGAAUUGGAAUAAUUAUCCGACGAUAAUCGUUUCGAUGUGAAUUAGUGUGGUUACUGCCAAAUCCCAUGAAUAAUGGUGUUUAGUGGCAGCGGGUGACUCGUAGCACUAGUCGGUGCGUUCCUGGAUAGUUCGUGGGUCCCGGCGGAGUCCCGGUGCGAUUUUCGGGACUUCCGGCGAGUUACGGUAAUCGAUUUCGAAAAACCGAUAUCUGUGGGCUUGUUUGUGGGGUUGUGGAUUUAGUGUUUAUUAUUUGUGGGUUAGACACUAACCCAGUGGAGCCUCCUUAGGUCCGGUUGACGUUCUUUCGCAGUCAGGAGGCAGGCGCAACAUUUGUACAGGUGGGUACUUCCAUCCGAAGUCGGUACAGUGGUGUACGCUCGGUGAUAUCUUCUUACCCUUGUUCUCUCGUUGUUAUCUUGCAUAUAUAUCUUUAUAUAUAGUGUUGAGCCUAGCACCCUUGUUGUUCUCAUUAUACUCUACUCGGUUGUUUUUCAUAUCUAGUAUCAUGAGUAGGAGUAAAGCAGAAUUAUGAUUGCAUGUGAGAUCAGUGACCUACUUUGUCGGUUUUGGUAUUCCGUAUCCGUGACCUUUUCGGUCGGUUUCUUGACUUAUGUCAUUCGAUGACCUUUGAGGUCGGUAUACCCUGCGGGGUGGGAUUGUCGGCUAGUUGCCGACAGAUGAUUAUAGUUUACUCAGAUCUACUAUUUGAUACUCUUGUGACCUAUUGGUCGGUUCUUGCGUAUACAUUUAGUUGACAGUGAGCAGUACAUGCGCACUUUUGGGAGGAUGUUGAGUUCUUCCAUCCUAGUUGACCUGAGUGGUCGAUUCUUGUGCUUCCUUACAGUUUGAUGACCUAUUGGUCAAUUUGCCCCGAGGGGCGGUGAUUGUCGGGUGGUUGCCAACGAUUGGUCAUUGAGCAUAUCAACAUCGAUCGCCUGAGACUCAUUCGCAUUUCACGAACACCAGCAGUCUGAUCCACCGCGACUAGGUGUUUUUUUCCAUAAAAGUGGUUGGGCGUGCCAACCCGUGAGCCCAGCGGUCAGAACUGGGUUAUAUGCAGGUAGAGUGGCAGUGGGCUUUUGCCUGAGGUCCUUAGACCGACACGGCGGUUUAGAUUGGGUACUUUUUGAGGAUCAAAAUGGCAACCUAAGAGGGGGGGUGAAUUAGGUUUCUAAAAUAAAAAUCCAAAUAAUAAAGCAAAUUAAAAAUCCGAUGCAAGUAAAAGUGAGGAGUUUAAAGAAAUGCAAACUCGAAAAGUACACAAUCGAUUUGUUUCGAAGUUCGGCACUUUGACUACGUCCCCGCCAACUUCUCAAUACUAGAGAAUGUUGAAUCUCCACUAGAUGAUGCUUUUGCGGGCAAGCACCAAGCCUUCACACCAACUCCUUCUUCUUCUCAAGCUUCAAGACUUUGAUUUUCUCUCUUUUUACAAAAUUAAAUCUCACUACAAAUUUCACUCAAGUAUAAAGAGAGAAUUGAGAGCUAAGAGUAUUAGAGACACUGAAUUUUUAAGCUUAAAAUGAACUAUCUAGUUGCUGCUGAGAAAGGCAUCAAUACCAUCUAUUUAUAGCCUCGGGCAGCUUUUGUCCGUUGUACUUUCGGGCGCCCUAAACCUGUUUUCGGGCGCCCAGAAGUUGUGCACGCCAGCUGCCUGUCAGACCACGUGCGCCGCUUUUCUUGACUUUGUAUGUUCGGGCCGUCAAAAGUUGUGGGCACCCAGAACACGAAGAACAGCUUUUCUGACACGUGCCGCUUCCUCUAGAUUUGGGCCGUCAGAAAUUGUGAGCACCCAGAUCUCGAAGGACAACUUUUUUUGACAGCCGAAUUUUCCUGGAUUCGGGAUCAUUUUGGGCUUCUAGAAGAUGUGAGUGCCCAAAUUUUCAACGCGCGCGCCGCUUGCGUCAGAACUUUUUGGGCGUAUACGCAACCUGUCAAGUCAAACACUUUCGGUCGCCCUAAACUGAAAUUCGGGCAACCAGAUCCGAUAAAGAAGUUUCUGGACCACCCGAACAGUAAACAGGCAGGAUCCAAAAAGUCUCAUGAGAUCUGUCACAACCCACGGCCACCCGCCUAUUUGGCCGGGUCGCGGCGCCACCGACAGACCGCCGAACGGACAGGGUUUUUCCUGUACCGCGGACAGAGUCUCCCCUGUAUAUUCAAGGCGUCGCAAUCAAUACAAUGUACGAAGUUCCAACCAGGAACACAUUUCAAACAAAGAUUGCAUAAGGAAGUAUCAGAAACAUAAUCUACUUGUUAUUACAAGCAUUCACAUUCACUAGAUAUAUUUUACAUUACAAUUUUAUUUUACAUUUAACUUCCAAAUACAAUCAUACUUUUAUUACAAAUUAUUACAAUCUUACUCCUUUCAUUUUCUUACAUCCCUAAGUAAAGCCGACUCAGGGUACUGCUAUCUCUGGUCUCGGUGGUAGGGCUCUAACUAUGGAGCUACGCCCUCGCCUCGCGCCGCCGCGCCGCUCACAUGUAUACUUGUAACACCCCAAAAUAAUGUGGGGUGAGAACCAACUCCAUGGUUCCCAGUGGGUGCGGCCACCCAAGGAAAAAGCUCGACCAAUAGGUGUAACACACUGGACCUUUGCAAAUUGCGAGGUUCGAGUAAUUGGAUGUGUUCUGAGUUUUUCCAGACUUUCUGGUGGAUCGUAGACAGUGUUCCGACCUAUGGUUCGAACCCCGAGGAUUGAGGUCUGAAGCCUAGCACCAAAACCCGAAAAAACAGAUUUUGGUUAGCUCUCGGGUAGCCUUCAUUGGGCUGUGUACCGGUGCAGGGUUGAUGGCUGUACCGGUACAGGGUUGAUGGUUGUAUCGAUAUGGGAUUGUGUACCGGUACACAGGCAGCUUCCCAGCCAACCCGAGGCUCGGGUUUGGCAUUUUCGUGGGAUGUGUACCGGUACGUGGGCCCGUGUACCGAUACGAAGUGGCAGUUUUUGAGCAGUUUGAACUGCAGAGGGGGUUUUCGCAAUUGUGGUCUUCUAUAUAGCACCCCACGCUCCUUGGGGCUUUCCCUAAGCUGAGGAAGGAGGAGAAGGAGGUAAGAGAGCCCUCCUUACCAUUUCUUUGGAUUUAUACCCCUUUUUGUUGGGAUUUUGGUGGAUUUACUCCUCUUUUUGCCUUUUGAAGCCUUUUCUACCAUUGUUGAAGCUUGGAGCUUGGUUUUAGUGCAUGGUUGAGGGAAGAUUUUUGGACUUAGAGAAUUUAGAGCUUGGAUUGAUGCUUCUAAGAGGUAAUUUACUUGUUCUCUCCCUCUAGAAUUGAGUUUUAUUGUUGGAUUUGAGAUAAAACCCUAGAACGAAGACUUAGGGUUUGAUUUCGGCAUUUUUGAUCUAGGGCCUUUGGAGCUAAAUUAAUUGGAUUAGAACCCUCCUUUGGGUUGGAUUUUAAGGGAUUUAGCUCUCUUUUGGAGCUUGGGAAAGAUUUUCUACUCCAUAGGUGAGAUUUUAGCCCUUUUGCCUUGAUGGUUAAUGUUUGAUCUUAUCGUUGAUCGUAAUGCCCAUGUAUCUCUUCGCUCCUUACUUUUAGAAUACUUAGAGACUCGUGGACAACUCCGUUCGGCGAAACGAAGGACUACGCGAUGGUUCGGUGGGUUUGACCUAGCUACACAAUGAGAAAAUCUCAUUUGUGAUGAUUUGAGUAUCGUUAAAUGAUAAAGCAUGCAUAAUCAUGUUAUAUAUAUUUAUUAUGAAUUUUAGAAUGCUUAACAUGCCUAUGUAAUGUAUAGUAAAUGUUUAGAUCUCUAUGUGAUAGAGUGCAUGCAUGUAAGAUAUAGCAUUCUAGUUGAGACUUGGAACCAUGAUUCCUAUUAUGAAAAUGAACAUUACUUUCAUGCAUUUAACCUUCAUGCCCAAUAGUGAAAUUAGGGAUUUUGGAAGCCUAGAGAGGCUUGGGGACUUAGACUAUUUGAGAAUUUGGGCCAAUGUCAUAAAGAGGCAUUGGGCAAGAGAGAGGAUGGUCAGGCGGUGUGCGGGUCUGUGCACUACCGGAUAUGCUUCCGCUGGUACCGCGCGUGACACUUAGAUGUGAGAUUAACGCCACAAUUCCAAAAGCUUAUCACAAUGUGAACGCCGCGACGAAAGCACGCCCGGCUCCAACGGGCGCACGAAAGCUCGAUCCUCGCUCCCAACCCGUUCGCUAAGGCAUCUUCUCGCCAACACCGUCCGCGAAUUUGAGCGAGAGAUAUUAAAGAGAUGAUAGAUAAAUCGAGAGAGGAGAAAAAGGGUUUCUCUCCCCUCCUUCUCCAUGCGUGCGUGGGUGUGUGGCGUGUGUGGUCGUCUGAGAAGAAGAAGCAAAAGGCUUCUUUUAUACAUUACACCCCAAAACACUAUUUCACCUUCGGGCAGUUCGAAAUCUAUAUCUUUUGCCGGAACUCCCUGAACAUUCCGUUUGUAGCUCAAAGUUGAUAGUCAUGUCCGUUUUACUUAACGAGUCCAAAGAAUUUUAAAUAUGUUUCAAUUUCGACCCGUUUGGUCCACCGAAAGUUACAGGAACUGUAAUCUUUAUCAGAUAGUCUCCGGAUUUUAUUUUCACCUUUCGGGUGGGUCAGAAUAAUAGUGAAACUUUAAAUCUUAGCCUCAUAAAAAUAAUUUCCUGGCUUAUCCCUCCAGUUUUCAUAAUUUCUGACACUCAUACAUUUUCUGUAAUUUAUCUGUCCCGUUUCCAAACAAAAAAUUCCUAAUCCUUACUUGUUUUCAUUCUGAUUUCAGCACAAGUCAUUUCUGACUUAUGUUUUAACAUUUUCUAAAUCCAUAAAAAUAUGCUCUCACAGUAUUUUAUUUAUUUUUAUUUUUAUACCAAAAUCUGGUAUGUUACAUUCAGAUCCCCACACCUUUAGGGCGCCAGAAACAGGGUCCGAAAAAUCCAAAUAACUUGACAGAACACAGAAUUUGAGCAGUUUUGAAUAUUUAAAAAGUUCUAAUGCACCUAAAUCAUAAGUUGAAAUUUGUUUAAGUGAAUCUAUAAGGUAAUUAAGAUGAACUAGUUUAAACUUAUCUUAAAAUUCUUAACUCUAAUCAUAAAAGCAUCAAAUUAAGAAUAGCAAAGAGUGAGUUUGUUUUUUACAAAGGAAAGGCGAGGUAUAGCUUCUAGUGUGAGCCUCGGUGCUAGAAAGAUUGCCCAUCUUGAGUCCUUUUUGAAGAUAGAGAGAUCGUAAAAAUAAACACUCAAGAUAAAGAGAUUAUCCAAUAAAUGUAAUUAUUUGGUCUAUCAUCAAAAUCUAAUAAAAGAUUAGGCCACUAGGCCAACACUCUUUGGACACUUUCCGGUGACACAUAUACUAUAGUAGCGGUUUUGUUCCAUGUAUACUUACAGUUAUUCUUUUAGAGUUUGUCUGCCUACCUAUAGUUUUUGAUAUCCAUGUAUCGGCAUUCAGUCCUUCGUUACCAGAGUAGCGGUAGUUGUGUGUUCUGUAUGUUCUACCUUCUUUCAUUUAUUAGCAUUGGUAUUAUUAUAUCUGUUCAUUGCCUUGAUUAUCUCUUCUUAAUCCGGUGAGUAAUUCCUUGCCUUCGUCCGGCUUGCGUACACCACCUGGCGAAGGAGACUUUUUCACAAUUGUUCUCACCUGCCGCCCACUAUUUUCAUGGUAUGCUGGCGGUGAGGAUUGAGACGAGAUCGUGAGACACGUUCCUAGCGGUGAGUAGAGAAGCUUCCAACCUAUUUUGGUGUGGUUAGUUGCUACCCUUUUUAUUUCUGUUGUUUAUAUCUAGAUAUAUUGGUCAGUUGGUUUUUGUUCAAUUGGACUAAAGUUGAUUUUAGUAAAUGAAUUUAAAGAACUUAUGGUUUUCCUGAGAUAAAAACGAUUUUCUACCCCCUCGUGGUAGCGUAUUUAAAGAAAAAGAGUUUCCUGUGGGGAAAUCGGGUUGUGAAAUGAAUUUUAUUGGUUUUUAUGACUUUUAGUGGUUUCAAAUAAGUUUUCAAGUGGGAAACAUUUUGUAAAAUGAUCUUAUCCUGUCAACGCCCCCGAGCCCGCCUCUUUGUCGGUUUCGGCACGCCAACAAGACCGCGAACGACAGGGUUUUCCCUGUACCGGCCAGGACAAGUCAUCCCCUGUACAUUCAAGGCGUCACAACAUCCAUACAAAGCCGCGUAGGUUCCAAACAGGAAGCAAUACUCAACAACGAUUGGUAUAAGCGAAGGUAUCAAACAACAUAACAUCAUCCCUACGUUAUUGGACAGAGCAUUCCCAUUAAGAUCUUCAUUUUACAUCCACACUUGCAUUAUUAAUUUACAUCAUUUCACUCAUUCUUUACACAUACAAUACCACAAUACAAUCAAGUCUCUUUUCAAUUAACUGCAUUCUUGGUUCUUUGUGUCAUUUUUAUACCCUAAGUAGCGCCGACUCGGGACAAUACUGCUACGGUCUCGUGGUAGGCGCGCUACUACCGAGCUACCGCCCUCUGCUCGCGCCGCCGCGCGCCUCCACGGAGGGGCGUGGCGACACCUGUAACAACCCAAAAAGCAACGUGGAUGAGCAACAAACCCAUGGUUCCCCAGUGGGCUACGCCACCCAGGAAAAAAGCUCACCAUAGGUCCAAGAGGCACUCGCAAUCAAUGUUAGUCCAAAAACCAUUCUAUAGAUAGUAUAUAUAUACCGUAUAUAUACUUACUAUAUACCUAUAUAGUGCAUGUAUAUACUGUAUAAUCAUCAUAUAGUACACACCUAUAUAUAUAUUACAUAUAUAUAUACUAUAAAAUCCAUCAUGUAAUUACUGCAACUAAACAGCAUAACACUCGCUGACGAAUAUGCAAUAUGCCAAAUCAUGCGAACUCAUUGAAUACAAAUUGCAUGAUUCUACUCUUAUCCUCUUAACCAUUCUAUCCCCAUUGCAUUACACUAUCUACUAUUAUUCCUUUAGCGAGUACUGUUCUUUGAUUAGUAUCCUUAAUAUCAUAUCUUUACUCUUUAUUCCACUUUAUCUUUAUUCUUUAUCUUCAACUCAACCUUAGCCAAUAUCCAUUUUGCCAUCAAUCAAUCAUUUGAUAUUAACCAAAUUCCCAACUAUCCACUCCAACAUCGCAUUGAAACACACAAACAGUCCGCCUCAAAACAAAACAUGGGUGAGGAACAUAAUACACACAACAAAAACAGGUCUCAGCCUUAAAUCCUUCUCGACUGUAGGUCUGCAACGGGGUGAGGAAUGCCAUCAACCCUCGACCCACAAGUUUGAGCUCUACUCAAUGGCAUACGGCGAGGGAAACAACAUACCGUUAAAUCAAACUGCCGGGGAGGAGAAACCACAUACCCACAGUUAUGAUUCUCAUUAGCAUUCUCUUUACCGGCGAGGAGAACCAACAUGACCCGUCUGAAUCCCCCCCGCCUUGUCGGCGAGGAAGAAGCCAACCAUAACCCCACAGUUAUGAGCCCUGCCCUCCGAUCGCCAAGCCUUAUCCGCUGCACCCUAGGCAGCCUUCAUUCCUAGCGGAUUCCGGAAUCCACGAUUACACUACCUCAAGGGUUGGUCUCACCCCUACUAGUAAUCGACCUAUCUAGGUCCAAAGCCUUUACUCCAACCAUAAAAGUUACAUCACUUUAAGGUUCGUUGCUUUCAUACCCAUACCCUCCCAAGGUUGUUAACACUAGGUCCAUUAUCUCCUUUUCUACCGUAGGUUCACCCCCUUGACCUCAGUUCUUCUACCCUUUAUUUCAGCCAACCUAUGUUCUCUAACAUUAGGCUUUACUGGCCUUUCUCCGUUAAACCUACCUGUCAUUAACCACUAGGUUCAUUAUCACUCUUGUUCAAGCCUUAUAUCCGCUUGACCUUAGGUUCAUCCUGUCAAAUUCUGUUCAACCCUAUGUUAUUAACACUAUGUUCCAAUGCACUCGAUCUAUUGUGUUAUAUAUAUCGUCCACCNNNNNNNNNNNNNNNNNNNNNNNNNAUGCACAUGUCAUAUACUUAACAUCUUUACAUUAGGAUCUCCACAACAUGCUUAUCAUACUUUCUCUUUAGCAUUCUUAUUUCAUAUCUAUAUGCAUUCUUACAUUAACAUUUCUACGCGUGCAACAUGACUAACAUAUGUCAUUUACUUUAUGCUUUCCACUUAACAUUAUUCACACUAUGUCAUUAUGCAUUACUUAGCAUUCUCGCACUACGACCAUAUGCAUUGUUGGGUAGCCCACAUCAUAUCCUUUUCAUGCAUUUAUACAUUCUAUCAUUAGCUACCAUUACAUGCAUCAACAUGAAACCAUCACUCUUAGACAUAGAGGCGACCUAGUCGCUUCGGUAAACACAACCCACCUUAAAUUGCUCUCCGAUUGCUUGUAAUCACUUGCAAUCGGCCUCCCGCGGCACCCGUGACCCGGUUUGGCCCGAACUCUUGCGCGACCACCUGAACAGUCACCAAUCCGCGAUCCGUCUGCUCUGGAGUUUAAUCCUCGAUACCGUGAUGCUCCAGAUCCGUUUUCGUGAUUUUUAGACGUUUAUUCCGCGUGCUGCGGCUAUCUGUACCAAAACUGAUUGUUUCGUCAAUAACUUUGCGUACACUCGUCGAAUCGUCGAACCGAGUGUUCCAUCGCGUUCGUUUGGUCCCCAAUUAGGUUUACAAAGGAUCAAUUGAGAUCAAACCCAACUAUUUACAAAAACCCUCUUUUGGAGCCCUAAUACCUCACUAUUGCAAUUAGCUUCAUACAAGCCAUUAAUCUUGCAAUAAAUGAGAUCAAUUACUUCUAAAGCAUCAUUAAACAUCAUCUAGCUAAGCUCAAAGAGGUCUAAAUCAUGCCCUAGCCAUUCACCAUGAGAGGCUCAAAGAGCUUACCUCAACUAGCUAGGAAGAAGAUGGAGAAGGGGAUGAUGGUCCUUCUCUUGAUCCUCCUCUCCUUCUUCUCCUUCUUUUUCUUCUCUUUCUUUCUCUUCUUCUCCUUCUUUUCUUUCUAGAGAGAGAGGGAGAGGUUUUGGUGUGGGAGAGUGAGAGAAAUGAGAGAAAGAGAGAAAGGAUCCUCUCUAUACACUCUCAUAAGUGCCAUUUUGCACUUAAGCCCCUCCACAAUGCUUCCCUCGCAACAGCCCAAACUGGGCAUUUUCGGGCUCAGGGACCGGUCCUUAGACUUGAGGGACCGGUCCCCGUAGGGUCCAAAAUUUCAGCAUCUAGGACUUAGCCAAAUUUUCAGCUUUUUCACCGUUUUCGCUCGUUUUCACUCGUUUGACAUCCGAUUCGUUUCAAAUCGAACCGAGACUCUCCAAACAUAUUUUCAAGCGUAUUUUCAUCAUCUUUUCAUCCACGCUAAUACCGGAUUUAGCUCAUGGUACAACAUAACCUUUCGGAUUCCGUUUUUGCACCUACGCGCACCGAAACACCCGAUUACUCCAGAACUUCACCGAACUUCACCGGGACCAUUCCAACGGCUUUCUAAGCUAACAUUCAUCGUAACUUCAUGAAUUAGAAGUUCGGUAUAUUACAAUAGACGUGGAUUUAUGGAUAAUUAUGAUGAAAUAAACGUGAUUGUGAAUGGUGUAUGAAUAUAUUUGUAUAUUCAGUUGUGGUGGUUGUAUCCGUUAUGUAUCUUGUACUUAUGCGACGCCGUGCAAAUACAGGGGAGACUCUGUCCGUGUGAACAAUGGACUUCCUGUAUUUGUGGCGGAUCUGGCAUACCCUGGGGGUCAGGUUUUCAAAAAAAUUUGGGCGCUUCCGCAUUGCUUUUAAAUCAAAAAGGGACCCUGGAGCGUGACAAAAUGUUGUUGUUACACCUGCGAGAGUGUGUCCGUGCACUAUGCCGGCGCAGACUUGACCAAACUUAUGAGCCGGUCGUCGCGAUUAGGUACUAUUACUUCAUUUAUUUAUUAGAAUCAGCUUUGAUGCAUACUCUAGUCAAUUUAUCUCAUGUUCAUUAUAUAUGUGACUUACGAGUUGGUCAAUUUAUAAUUGAAUCACCAUAUGUUGAUUGGAUUGCAUGUGUGUGAGUGAAUGAUACCUUGUAUUUAUUAUUAGUCGUCUUCUCUCCUGUUCAUUACAUGUGUAAAGGCAUGAUAGUUUAGUAGGUGUACAUCAUUCAUAUUAUGCUUUGUUACUCGUUUUAUAGCAUUGCUUACUAUACUUUCUCUGCACUUGCCUUUAAUAAACCUAGUAGGUCAGCCGUAAUUGUCGCUGACCAAACCCACUAUAAAUUAUUUUUUAGUAGUUUUCACGCCCUCUUAUUGUUACUUCUCAAAAACAUCUACGGUGAUAGAUGAUCGAGAUAAGGGGAUCGUGUUGUAGAUAGCACCUCCAACCCAUGUAUAUGAAUUUUAGAGGACCACUAGUUAAUUGGUUUUGGGAUUGUAUACUAUACAUCUAGACGGGCAAGGCUAGGGACUUUACUUGUAUAUUUUAUUUUGGAAUAUAUGAUUGCAUAUUUGUAUGAAUAGUAAUAGUUAUUUAGUUUAAUUCAACAUAUAUCGCUUUGAUACUUUGUGUUUAGUUGUGGACUCUGAAAUUAUUAAUAUUGACUCCCCAAUUUCUUUGCUACUGCUAUAUUUUGUUGGACGCUUCAUGUGGGGACGGCAAACCUCUGUCCGUUUGACGAAUCUGUGCACGUGCCCCGAUAGCAUCCGCUGUGGGCUCGGGACGUUACACUCCUCGCCCGAGGAAAGAGAGCCCCAAAUCUCCUUUCUAGCGCAUGAGGCUUUCAGGAGUAGGAAUUAAAUUAAAAUUUAGGGUAAAUUCGUAAGGAAAAGUUUAUGCAAAGCAGUAAAUAAUAAUUUCCUCUCAUACCUGAGUACGCUACAGAGAUAUUGAUGAUGGAUAUUCAAAAUUCCAAAUUCAAAACCUAAUUACUUUAUUUAUUAUUAACUGUGUAUACGUCGUCGUCUGUUUGAUUACCAAGCAACCUGAAUAAGGAUCCACCACGAGAAUACUGCAUCCUUAGGCCUUGUUCCGUUUCGUUGCAUUUUUUUUUAACUUUUUAGAACACAAAAUUCUAUGUAAUUGAAUACGCAUGCAAAUAGGUUUGCACACGCAUGCAAAUAGGUUUGCACACGCAUGCAAAUAGGCUUGUUUCUGGUUGUCCUGAUGCCAUUAAUUUGCAAUGCACCCUCGCAGGCGAUGGGGGAUAACAAGUUCUUCAAAUAAUAAUAAAAAAUAAAAAAAAAAAAGCAAGAAAAAGACUAACUAUCAAAUCGUUAUCUUUUUGUUGUCACACAAAACACUUUGGAUGGAAGGAUUCUAAACAAUCAGCCAUCCACUCGUGCACCCACGCANGCCAUCCACUCGUGCACACUUCCACGUAAAAGAAAUUCUGUUUAGAAAAACAAAAACAAAAAAAAAAAAAACAGCACCAAUUCCCAAUAAGGCCUCGAGUAGCAGGAAAUCCAAAAGGCCAAAAACAAAAAACAAAAAAAAACAAAAAAAAAAACAAAAACAAAAACAGAGGCCCAUACCGAUUUCAGAAUAAAACUACAAAAAAAAAAAAAGGCUAGCAUUGACAUCUCACUCUGUAAACACGUAAACCGGACCCAGAACUUGCAGGACAACGCAGCACAAUUCCAUCACAUAACUUACAGAUCUACUUACAGGAGGGUAAGAUUAGUGUGAAACUCUAGCUUUAGCUGCCACAGUUCAAUCCUGAAAUACUGGCGAAGAAGUAUAAACUCACAGUAUCUUUCAAUCACUCUCAUCUUCAACAUCUGCAAAAUAGCAUCCAACAGAACAGUAUAAUUAUCAAAAAGGACUAAAGGCAUAAAGACAAUAAGCAUCUCAACCCCGAAGAGGAGGAAACAUGCAUUUGUUGAUUCUAGGAUAGGACAUGAAACCAAGAGAGUUGGACUGCACAAUUUCUGUCAACUCUUAUGUAAUUUUGCUAAGGCAACAAGUUGCAGAUCAACAAGAUCUCAGCAUUGAACAUCAUUACAUACUGAAAUGUUUAAAUUACCUGUAGCUAAUGCUUAAGAAGUACAGGAACUUCACAAAACUUCUCGCACAAGGGUUCUUACUUGGCAUAUACUAUGAUACAAUUAAUUAUAUGGAGUAUUUGAUCAGAAGCCACAGCGUAUGUUUCACACAGAGGUGAUCACUCAGUUUGGCAGGUUGUGCUUGAGCUCGAAAUCAAGGCUUAGUUAAAAUUUACCAUGUCCAAACACACAUGCUUUCAUGCUUUGAUAGAUCCGGAAAAAACUGAAAAAUUCGAAAGCAUUUGGAGCUCUCCUCACCCAGUUGCCAUAACAUGGUGGUGAGAACUCAUACCAAAAAAGCAAAUAGAUUGUUUGAACACGUAAGCAACCUUCGAUUUUUCACAGAAAUCAUCUAUUCAGUAAGCAUGUCCAGUCAUUUUGAGGCUGGACGGGUUUAUGUCAACUUGAUUUUGAGUUUCUCUAAGUGCUUUUGGGUUGUACUCAGGAUAUGUUACAAUGUCAAGAUAUACCUAGACUUGGGCAAACAACAGGCCUUAGCUAGGUUCAAGCCUGUCCACGCUUGGCCCUGCUAAGACUUUCUGUACCUAUUUCGGGGUGUGCUCGACCCUAAAACAGCCAAUUCGAGCUUAAUUAGGCUGUGUACGAACUCUGAUUGGGCUGGGUCAACCAAAAGAAACUGAAAACCUCAACACAUUCAUCAAGCCUCUAAUUUCAAAAGGACCCAACCCAACCCAGGGAGUCAGACUGUUCUGAGCUUAAGCUACAAGUCGUGCCGAAUUUGCCCAAGUUUAUUGCCUCCCCUAUUUUACAACAAUGCUGGUAUACAUGUUGGUCAUAUUUGCAAUAAUUUGAUAUAGAGGCAAGACAUCUGUUAUUUUCAUGAGAUUUUUUAUUUUUCUUCAACAUAUUUUGGUUAUGAAGAUUAAAAUAAAGGCUAACUUACGAAAAAUCCCAUUUGCACUUUAACCCGCAUCUCAAUCACCCCCUUAGGUAAAAAAUUGCAUUAAUUUACACCCUACACUUUAACAUUGUCUCAAUUAGGCCCCCACACAUUUGGGUCAAUUCUUGAAUUAAUUGUGAAACUUUACUCAAAUUGUUUUGGCAAAUAACGUCGAUCUUAUAUUUGAACAUACAUCUAACUUUCAACUCAUAUUAUAGAUCAAAAAUUAAAGAAAAAGAUCUUUCUUUUUUUACUACAACUGAAAGAAGGGCAAAAGAGUAUAGCCCUCUAGGCUGUAUUGAUGAGAAUAAAUAAUAUACAAAUCAACCUAUCAUAGUAAUAAUACAACCAGAGAUACCAUAUAGACCUAUACUAUAUAAGGCAAUAAAUAAUAUAAUAUUAAAUAUAUCCUAUCGUACUAAAUAUAUCCUAUCAUACUAAAUAUAUCGUAACAUUGCCCCGCAAGCUAAGCAUCCAUUGGUCGGAUGCAAAAAUUGGUCUGCAGCAUGGAGAAUUGAGAAGGGGACAAGGGUUUGGUGAAGAUGUCAACAAGUUGCUUAUCAGAAGAUACAUAGACUAAGUCCAAGUCACCGGAUUGGACUUUUUCGUGUAAGAAUUUAUAAUCAAGCUCAAUAUGCUUUGUACAAGCGUCAAGAACAAGAUUGGCAGCAAGAUAUGUGGUGCUAAGGUUAUCACAAUGGAUACAAAUAGAACGCCAUAAGGAAACACCAAGAUCACGAAGCAGACUUACGGAUCCAAAUUGUCUCAAAAAGCAUGUAAGCCACAACGCGAUACUCCGCUUCAGAAUUAGAACGAGAAAUAGUAGGUUGUUUCUUAGCCGACAAACAAGAUAAGAUUAGGCCCAACAAAUAUGCAAUACCCUAAAAUAGACCAACGUGUAUCCGAACAACCGGCCCAAUCAAGAAUCUAAAAAGGCGACAAGCGAAGGAUUGAUAGCGUGAGUGAUAGAAAUGCCAUAGGAGAGCGUGCCCUGAAUAUAACAGAGAAGACAUUUAAUUGCUUGCAUGUGUGGCUCACGAGGUGCAUGAAGAUAUUAAGCAACCAAAUUGACAGCAUACGAAAUAUUGGGUCCUGUGAAGGAAAGAUAUUACAAAGCACCAACCAUCUGAUGAUAGGUGUAAGGAUCUUCAAGGAGACACCCCUCAUGAGACGGGAGACGAGUAGUCGGAAAGAGAGAAGUGGAAAUAGGUUUACUAUCAAGAAACCCAUGACGCACAAACAGUUGAUGUGCAUAUUUUUGUUCAGUCAGAAAAAAGACCAGAAGAAGAGCAGUUAACCUCAAUAGCAUAUAGUGGACCUAAGUCCAUUGCAAAUUCCGGUUGCAAGGUGCCUAUAAGAGGUUCCAAAAGAAAGGACGAGCUUCCAAUGACAAUAAUAUCAUCGACAUAUAAAAGAAAAAUAAGAGUGCCAAAAAAGGAGUGACAAAUAAAUAUCGAGGGAUCAACGGUGUUUCCAAUGAAACCUAGUUUAGAAAGAAAUGAAGUAAACUGUUGAAACCAAGCUGAGGCGCCUGCUUGACACUAUAGAUCGCUUCGCGUAGACGGCAAACAUGAUAAGGAAAAGAAGGGUGGACAAAACUCGGUGGUUGUCGCUAGGGGUGGAAACGAGCCGAGCUCGAGCGAGCUUAUGUCAGCUCAAAUUCGNUUAGACUUACCCUUUCUUUGGGGCCUAGUGGUGCAUUGAGCUGAGGUCAGUAAUUGCCCACUGGAAACUAUAAAUUAUAGUUCUCACGCCCUCUGUUUUAUGUUUUCUUUCAGAACCUUCAACGCCGGGAGAGGCUAGGGAUCGUGGGAAGGGCGUUGUUUCGAGCUAACUUUUCAGCGAGUGACGAGUUGAUAGGUGGUCUACCUCUCGAUGUUUAUAUUUUGAAGAGGUUGAGAGCUGUACCAGUGUAUUAGAGACCAUCCUUGUAAUAUACCGAAAAUUCGGAAAAUAAAUGUCGAACUUUACCGAAAAUUCGGAAAAUAAAUGUCGAACUUUAAUCAAAUUGACCAAAGUGCGAGGAUGGAACACUUCGGAAAGUCCGAAUGUGUUAAAAUGAUUAAAAGUGAGUUACGGGAGGUUUUCGAGAGCUAAAGUUGUGAAAUCUGCAUUCUGCAGGUUUUCAGCUCUCGGGGACCGGUCCCUGGUGGGAGAGACCGGUCCCCGAACGCGUAUGAAAUGAGACAGCCGAAAAAUCGGCUAAGUCCUGAGAAAUCAGCUCUCGGGAACCGGUCCCUACCCGAGAGACCGGUCCCUCGAGAGACCGGUCCCACAAAGAGAGACCGGUUGCACUGCGCGCAGCAGCUCUGGCUGCGCUGCGACGACGUUCGGGAACCGGUCCCUAAAGGAGAGACCGGUCCCUGCCUGCGCGAACUGCCCAGUUCGGGCAGUGUAUUAAAGUGAAAGUUGAGGGGUUUUAUUGCAUUUUUGCAACCCAUUGAGCUAUGUUAGUGGGUUGAGGGGCUUUUCCUCUCAUUUUCACCCUCUCAAACACUCUCUCCUCUCCCUCUCUCUCUCUAGAAGACAAAGGAGAAGAAGAAGAAAGGAGGAAAAGAAGGAAAAGAAGAGGAAGAAAGUGAAGAAGAAGACAAGGAUAAGAAGAAAACCUCUCCUCUCCUUCCUAGUGCAAGAAAGGAGCAAGCUUUGAGGUAAGCUUUGCCCUUUUUCAUGUUAACUCCCAAACUAGGGUUUUGGAAAACCUAGAAAUGAUUUUUAUGGAGCUUUUGGAGUAUUGGAAGCUUUUCUUUUGCUUCUUUUGAGAUCAAGGCCAUGGAAAUGGUGAAGCUUGAGGUGAGCUUCAUNNNNNNNNNNNNNNNNNNNNNNNNNNNNNNNNNNNNNNNNNNNNNNNNNNNNNNNNNNNNNNNNNNNNNNNNNNNNNNNNNNNNNNNNNNNNNNNNNNNNNNNNNNNNNNNNNNNNNNNNNNNNNNNNNNNNNNNNNNNNNNNNNNNNNNNNNNNNNNNNNNNNNNNNNNNNNNNNNNNNNNNNNNNNNNNNNNNNNNNNNNNNNNNNNNNNNNNNNNNNNNNNNNNNNNNNNNNNNNNNNNNNNNNNNNNNNNNNNNNNNNNNNNNNNNNNNNNNNNNNNNNNNNNNNNNNNNNNNNNNNNNNNNNNNNNNNNNNNNNNNNNNNNNNNNNNNNNNNNNNNNNNNNNNNNNNNNNNNNNNNNNNNNNNNNNNNNNNNNNNNNNNNNNNNNNNNNNNNNNNNNNNNNNNNNNNNNNNNNNNNNNNNNNNNNNNNNNNNNNNNNNNNNNNNNNNNNNNNNNNNNNNNNNNNNNNNNNNNNNNNNNNNNNNNNNNNNNNNNNNNNNNNNNNNNNNNNNNNNNNNNNNNNNNNNNNNNNNNNNNNNNNNNNNNNNNNNNNNNNNNNNNNNNNNNNNNNNNNNNNNNNNNNNNNNNNNNNNNNNNNNNNNNNNNNNNNNNNNNNNNNNNNNNNNNNNNNNNNNNNNNNNNNNNNNNNNNNNNNNNNNNNNNNNNNNNNNNNNNNNNNNNNNNNNNNNNNNNNNNNNNNNNNNNNNNNNNNNNNNNNNNNNNNNNNNNNNNNNNNNNNNNNNNNNNNNNNNNNNNNNNNNNNNNNNNNNNNNNNNNNNNNNNNNNNNNNNNNNNNNNNNNNNNNNNNNNNNNNNNNNNNNNNNNNNNNNNNNNNNNNNNNNNNNNNNNNNNNNNNNNNNNNNNNNNNNNNNNNNNNNNNNNNNNNNNNNNNNNNNNNNNNNNNNNNNNNNNNNNNNNNNNNNNNNNNNNNNNNNNNNNNNNNNNNNNNNNNNNNNNNNNNNNNNNNNNNNNNNNNNNNNNNNNNNNNNNNNNNNNNNNNNNNNNNNNNNNNNNNNNNNNNNNNNNNNNNNNNNNNNNNNNNNNNNNNNNNNNNNNNNNNNNNNNNNNNNNNNNNNNNNNNNNNNNNNNNNNNNNNNNNNNNNNNNNNNNNNNNNNNNNNNNNNNNNNNNNNNNNNNNNNNNNNNNNNNNNNNNNNNNNNNNNNNNNNNNNNNNNNNNNNNNNNNNNNNNNNNNNNNNNNNNNNNNNNNNNNNNNNNNNNNNNNNNNNNNNNNNNNNNNNNNNNNNNNNNNNNNNNNNNNNNNNNNNNNNNNNNNNNNNNNNNNNNNNNNNNNNNNNNNNNNNNNNNNNNNNNNNNNNNNNNNNNNNNNNNNNNNNNNNNNNNNNNNNNNNNNNNNNNNNNNNNNNNNNNNNNNNNNNNNNNNNNNNNNNNNNNNNNNNNNNNNNNNNNNNNNNNNNNNNNNNNNNNNNNNNNNNNNNNNNNNNNNNNNNNNNNNNNNNNNNNNNNNNNNGAGUUGCUUCUUUUCAGGAAGCAAUGGCACCUCGACGUCGAUCGCAGACAAGGUCGAUGCCGGAGGAAACGAAUGCGGUGCCCGAGCAAUCCGGAGCGAGUGGCGACGGAGAGCUUAGGGAACAAAUGGCCGCGCUUAUUGGCGUAGUGCGGCAACAAGCGGAGUCUGUUCAACGCCAAGGGGAACAGAUUCAUCGGCUCCAGGAGACCUUGGAGCGCCAGCAGGCGGCGGCGACCCAGGCGGGUGUCGAGCAUGUCGCGCCCCCUGUGGUAGUGCCGAGUGUUGUUGAGGGAGCGGCGGCAGCAGCCGCUGUUCUAGUUACGGUAGUACCGGCCGGGUCGGGAACCUCUAAUCCCGAUAGCGCGACAGUGGAUGCGGAGCUAGAGCGCACUUUGGCGGCUCUCAUUCAAUUCAAGAAGUUCGACCCACCUAACUUCGAGGGCGGUUUGGUGGAGCCAGCGGUUGUGGAGUCGUGGAUCGACUCAAUGGAGACGCUCGUCGAGGAUCUCAAUACCUCGGAGAAGGAUAAAGUGUACCUCGCCACCCAUUGUCUUGAGGUAGCGGCAAAGGUGUGGUGGAAGCGGAUGAAGCGGGAUCGUCCUAUUGACCUUCCGCUUAUGCUNCUUGACACUAUAGAUCGCUUCGCGUAGACGGCAAACAUGAUAAGGAAAAGAAGGGUGGACAAAACUCGGUGGUUGUCGCAUAUAAACUUCCUCAGAAAGAGAGCGGUGACAAAAUGCAUUCUUCACGUUAAAUUGUCAAAGUGGCCACCUAGACGAGAAUGAAAUAGAAAGAACAGUAUGAAUAGUAGUCAGCUUGACGACCAGAGAUAAUGCCUCGUCAAAGCCAAUACCUUAUUGUUGCUUGUAGCCCUGAGCCAUAAGUCGAGCUUUGAAACGCUCAAAAGAGCCAUCGGCCUUCUGCUUGACCUAAUACACUCACUUGCAGCAAAUAAGGUUGACGAAUGAGGGAGGAACAAGAUCCCAAGUAGAGUUGACCAAUAAGGCAUCAAACUCUUCAACCAUAAUUGCAUGCCAACCUGCAUCUUGAGAAGCCUCAGCAAAAGAGUUAGGCUCGGUAGGAAGAAUAGAGAUCUUAGAAGCAAGAAAAGUGGUAGACUCAGGCAAGCAAAUCCUUCAUCAUGGAUCGGGUGAUCAUAGAGUGAGUACGGGAAGGUAAAGGGGAACUGAUAGGUGUAGUAGGUAAAGCAGAGAAUGCUAUCGGUAGGGCGGCAUCAGGUUUGAGGGGGGGUGGUGAGGGGGGGAGGUGGAGGUCCAAAUUGUGGGAGGUGCCGGACCAGUAGGAGAAGUGAUUGCAAUAGGCCAGGAUGUAUUCCGUCUGAUAUAAACCCGAAGUCCAGAUUGACCAGCAACAGAGGCAUCAUUCUCAUAGCGAACCUGUGUGACAGUAUGAUUCAAGGUGGUAGUAAAGUAUGAUAAUAACUCAGGCGGAGAAAAAGACUGAGGAAGUUCAUUGGUGGACAGAGUACUAGAAUCAUCAGCCAUAGAGAAGUGGAUGAAAUAGACCCAGAAAUUGCAUAAAUAGUAGACGGACUCUCACCCAGUACAGAAGGAUUAGAAAUAAAAUUAUGAAACAUAUGAAAAUCUGAAAUAGUAGAAACUGGUGCUGAAGAGGUGAAAAAUUUUGACAGGAAUAAGGCGACACCUUCAAUGAAAGUAACAUGUCGGAAAAUGAAAACUUUACCAGUGCUCAAAUAAAGACAACGAAUACUUUGUUGCUUAGCACAGAUUCCCAAAAAAACACAAGGAAGCGAUCGGGGAGAGAACUUGUGAUCACUGAUCAACAAUAUCCUGUAGAUCGGGAUAACACAAACAUCCAAAAACUCCGACAAGUUGCAAGUCAAAAGAAAUACAACCAUGCAAAAAAGUGUAUGGUGAUUUUCCUUUCAAAAUAGUAAGAGUACGAUUCACAAGAAAAAAAGCUAAAUAGCAUCAGUCCGAAAAAGAGGCAAGCAAGUUUUUUCAAGCAAACUUGUAACAACAUAAGUGUCUAUGCUUCCUCUCAGCUAUGCCGUUUUGUUGUGCUAUGUGGACAAGAAGAAAACCCGUGAAUAAUCUCAUUUCAUGAACAAGGAGAAGAAAAUUUUUCAUUUACAUGACCACUGUCAAAUUGGAAAAUUUUAAUUCUGUUAUGAAAGAUGUUUUCAACCAUUAAUAUAAACUCCAGAAAUUUUGCAAAAACCCCAUGCUUAAAUUUCAAAAGAUAAAGCCAAGAGUAGCUAGAGUAAUCAUUGACAAAAAUGACAUAAUAUUUAUAACCAGAAACAAAAUGAACGGGUGAUUGUCAUACAUCAAAAUAAACAAUUUGAAAAGGAAAAAGAGAGAUUAUGAAUCAUGAAAAGAAAGUUUAACAUGUUUGCCCACAUUACAAGAAUUACAAAUAGAUAAUUUAGUAGCCAAAUUAUUAUCGGAAACAACUUUAUUGUCUUUAAUAGAUUUAAAAAGAACGGGAAGACUAAGAUGACCUAACCGUCUAUACAAAUAUCUCCACUAACUAUGGAUGCAAUAAGAGCUAACUGUUGCAGAACAGGAAGACUAGGAUGACCUAACCGUCUAUCAAGGUUUAAAGUGUCGUGGCACGAAAGCGUGCCGCUCUUUCCCUGGCACGGUACAGCAUAAGCACGCUUUUGUGCCUACACGUGGUAAGCGUGCGUGCCAAUGGAUACCAUGACCUUCUACUGGCACGCUUUGGUAAGGACUUAUUUAAUUUUUUUUUGUUCCAACUAGCUCUUAUAAUAUUAUUUUGAAAGGUUUAGACAAAUAAUUAUGAAUAUUUGCUAUGUAUAGCUUACUAUACUUAUCAAUUAACAUACAUGUAAGCAUUUUGUAUAUAAAAUACAACUAUACCUAAUGUAGAAUAAAAAUUAAAAUACAAUAAUAAAAUUUCCAAGUAAAAUAAUUAUUGAUUCGAUUAGGAAGCAUAUAAUGACUAGAACAACCAGAAUAAAACCGCAAUUACAUCUAUAUUUUUUUCUUUUUUAUUCUUUAAAAAAUAUCUAAUUAAAAUUUAUUUAAGAGAUCGAUUUUUGUUUCCUUGAUUCACCGAAAGCUUCGUGGUGCGAUAAAUUUUGAUAAAAUAAUGGGUUAAUUACACCAAUGGUCCCUAACCUUCACACUAUUUUUCAAUUUGGUCCCCAACUUUUUUUUUUUGCAAUCAAGUCUCUAACCUCUUGAUUUCAUUUCAAUUAAGUUCCAGCCGUUAGAUAGCUGUUAAAAUUGACGAAAAAUGCCACGUCAGCACCCUGUCAGUGCCGCGAAGGCGCCAUGUCAGCGCCGCGGAGGCGUCGUGUCAGCGCCAAGGUGACGCUGUGUCAGCGGAUUGCAAAAAAAAAAAAGUUGGGGACCAAAUUGCAAAACGGUGCAAAGGUUGAGGACCAAUGGUGUAAUUAACCCAUUAAAUUUAUGAAUUCAAAAAAAAAUUUAAUUUAAGAUUUAAAUUUUAAAUUUAAAUUUUGAUUUUGGAUUCAAAUUUCAAUUGGAAUUCAAAUUGCGAUUUUGUAUAUAAUUUUUAAUUUUUAAUUUUUAAUUUUAAAUUCAAAUUCACAUUUGGAAUUCUAAAUUCUAAUUUAAUUUCAAACUUCGAUUUGAAAUUUCAAAUUCAAAAUGUGAAUUUGAAUUCGAAGUUUAAAUUCAAAUUUAGAAUUGAAAUCCAAUCUUAAAUUCAAAUUUAAAUUUUGAAUUCAAAUUUAAAAUUUAAAAUUUAAAUUUUUUGAAUAUGAUUUUAAAUUUAAUUUCAGAUUUUAAAUUUAAAUUUCAGUUUCAAAACUUUCAUUUUAAAUGUAAAUUGAAAUAUCAAAAUCCAAAUCAAAAUUUUAAAUUUUAAUUCAAAAUUUAGAUUCAAUUAAAAAUUUAAAUUUAAAAUUUGACUUUCAAUUCAAAAUUUUAAUUCAGCUUUAAAUUCAAAUUCAAAAUUCUAAUUUCUCAUUAGUUUAAAAUUUUAAUUUUAAAAUUAUUUUUGAAUUUAAAUUUAAAAUUUUGAAUUUUUAUUUUUAGAGACAAAUGAAAAACGUGCAAAGUUUAGGGACCUAAAUUGACAUGCAAAAGGUUGCCAAAUAGACGCUGACGUGGCGAUUCCGUUAAUUUUAACAGUUUUUUUAACGGUUAGGGACGUAAUUGUAAUAAAAUCAAGAGAUUAGGGACUCAAUUGCAAAAAAAAAGUUGGGGAAUCAAGUGAAAAUUGGUGCGAAGGUUGGGGACUACCGGUGUAAUUAAUUCUAAAAUAAUUUGCGAAGAAAAAAUGGAUGUCUGUAGUAGAAGCGAAGGGCUCGGGCCGACCAAGCCCUCCGCUUCCACCAGAGACAUCCGAGCGGAGUGCGGUGGGCAAAGCCCCCCGCAGUAUGGAUCGAAUAUGUCAAUUAAAAACUUGCUCCUAUAUUGAUAAAUAAAAAAAAAGUAAAAUUAAAAAGCAAAAAAAAAGGUGAAAAAAAGACAACACUAAACCGGUGCGGAGGAGGGGGAUAUGGCAUGGUACCACAGUCAAAAAGAAAAAAAAAAGAAAAAAAAAAGUGAAAAAAAUCAAAAAAAGUAAAAAAAAUAAUAUAGCCGCGGGGGGGGGCGGGUUUGUACCCUAGAGAACAAAAGAAAAAAAGUAAAAGAAAAAAGCAAAAAAGAAAAAGCCAAAAAGCCAAAAAAAAUGUGCCGCGCGCCGGUAAUGGCGCGCGGCAUGCACUUGCGUGCCGCUUUGUCUCGCACGGCACGCACCUGCGUGCUGCGAGACUUGAGAGAGGGUGCGAGACCCCCCUGUACCCCACGAUACGUGCCGCCCCGUGUCGCACAACACAAGACGGCACAUUAAUCAUUGCUGUCUAUGUCAAAUAUCUCUACUAAAUCUAGAUAUAACAAGAGCUAAAUGUUGUUUAUUCCCUAUACUUGCAACUUUAGAAGAAGAAAUUGGAUAGAGUAAUGUUCACGAACUAUGGCAUCUGAGAAGCGUCCCCAUUUCCUUGUCUUUCAUAGAAAAACCAGACAAGUCAAAUUUGAAAGUAGAAUUAUUAUCAUGACAGAAUUUGCGAACAGAAAGUAAAUUUCUUUUAAUAGAAGGAACAAUAAGAACAUUUUUUUAGAGCAAAGGAGUUGGAGGAUGUAUUCAAUUAUCUCACUUGUCUGAGUAAUAUUCAGUAAAUUUUCAUUACCAACAAGUCGUUAUAUGAUUGGAUGUUCCAGUGUCUGCAAACCAUACAUCCUCAUCAGGCUCAUGAGGGGGAGGGGGGUUGUAACCCAGAGAACAAAAGAAAAAAGUAAAAGAAAAAAGCAAAAAGAGAAAAUGUGUGGCACGCCGAUACGUGGCACGCGGCAUGCACCUGCGUGCCGCUUUGUCUCGUGCGUGCUGCGAGAUUGGGGGGGCCUGCGAGACCCCCAUGUACCCUGCCCCCUCCUUGGGGGCAAGAUACGUGCCGCCCCGUGUCGUACGGCACACGGCGGCACAUUAAUCCUUGCCGUCUAUGUCAAAUAUCUCUACUAAAUCUAGAUGCAGCAAGAGCUAAAUGUUGUUUAUUCGCUAUACAUGCAACUCUAGAAGAAAUUGGAUAGAGUAAUGUUCACGAACUAUGGCAUUUGAGAAGCUCCGUCCCCGUUUCCUUGUCUUUCAUAGAAACACCAGAGAAGUCAAAUUUGAAAGUAUAACUAUUAUCAUGAUAGAAUUUGCGAACAGAAAGUAAAUUUCUUUUAAUAGAAAGAACAAUAAGAACGUUUUUUAAGAGCAAAGGAGUUGGAGGACGUAUUCAAUUGUCUCACUUGUCCGAGUAAUAUUCAGUAAAUUUUCAUUACCAGCAAGCCGUUAUAUGAUUGGAUGCACCAGCAUCUGCAUACCGUACAUCCUCAUCAAGCUCAUGAAAGUUUAUUACAGCGAAAGUCUGAGUAAUUUCAUCUCCAACAAAAGUAUGACUGAAGCGUUGCCUGCACUGAAGAGCACAAUGAUUGAAUUUUCACAAAUCUGACAGUGUACCAGACCAUGGAAUAUAUGGUUGUUGGUUUGAUUGAGUAUUAUUAGGCUGAGGAUAUGGACAGUUUCCAUGACAUCCGUGACUGGAGUAUGAAUUGUGUCUACCACGCUAUCCUUGGCCUCCGCGCUAUCUACCCCCAAGACCGUCACGAGUACCUCAUCCACGGUUUGCAUAAAGUGCUUCUCCAUCAAUGAUGGGAGUAGCAAAUAGUGUUGUCAAGCUGGCACGACAUUGAACUUUUGUUUCUUGCAUUAAGAGUAGGCAAAAUUGUUCAAAGGUAGGUUUUUUUGUCCAUGUAUAUUUAGAGAACCGCCAAAACCUCUAUAUUCUUUGAACAAUCCAAAAAGAAUAGUCAUGACCAAGUUAUGAUCUGACUCGGUUUCGCCAAUUGCCUGAAAAGCAUCCCCGAUUGACAUAAUUGUUUUCAUGUAUUCACUCAUACCCAUUGAUCCUUUCUUGAUACUUUGUAAUUCAGACUUUAAAAAGAAAGUCGUAGAGGUAGUUUUGUCAAGAAACUAUGCCUCAAUUUUGUAUGCAUCAUCGGCCGUUUUAGGUGAACUAGAUAUAAUAUGCUAAGAGAUAAGAGUAGCAUUAAUCCAGAAAAGUAUGGCGGUGUCUAUUUUCUUCCAAACUAAAUCUGGAUUUACAAUUAUCUUUUUGUCAGUAGUAUCAAUUGUUUGAGAAGAAAUAAUACCAGAUCCAUCCACAAGCAUAGUCAGACCAAAACUCUCUAAAACAUUGAGAACCAGUUGCUUCCACACUAGAUAUGUAAAAUCAAUGAGUUCAAAAAGUAUGAGAGUUUUAAUGUUAACAAUUGGUAGAGACAAUAUACAAGAAGACACGUUUGCCACCGAGAAAAAGAAAUACCACCACAAAGGAGGAGAAAAGAUAAGGGAUUACCAAUUUGAGAGUUUCUGAUAAGGAAAAGGAAUAGCAAAUACCACUAGAAAACCAAGCUACACUCGGAUGCUACCAAGUGUCCAGCGACAGUAGGAUAAGCCAGGCAACACCAAGGAAUUAGGGAAAAAUCACAGAGAACACAGCUGGACCACAAGCAGCACCGCAGAGACCGAGCUGCUGCAACCAACAGAAAAAGCUAUGCGGUAUUCUUGGACUACCAACGACUCAAGCGGCCCAACACAGGGGGUCUAGCGACAGCAAGCAACACCAGAGAAGCAAGGAGACUGGAGCGGCACAACACAGGUGGUCCAGCAACAACAAACAGCAUUAGAGAAGCAAGGAAAGUGAAGCAGCACAACACAGGGGUCCAAUGGCAGCAAGCAACACGAAAGAAUCAAGAACAAUGACCGAGAGCCACAAAAGAAGAGAUCACCUAUGGAUGAAUAUGAGAUAUUUGGUGGAUGGUGGUUAUGGAUCAAUAUUCCUUAGUUAGGGUUUCUGCUCUGAUACAAUGAAAGAAGGACAAAAGAGCAUAGCCCUCUAGGGUUGUAUUGUAUUGUGAGAAUAAACAGUAUACAAACCAACCUAUUAUAGUAAUAAUACAACCAGAGAAACCAUAUAGAUCUACAUUAUAUAAGGCAACAAAUAAUACGAUACUAAAUAUAUCCUAUCAUACUAAAUAUAUCAUAACAACAGCUACCAAAAUUAGUAAUUUGUUAGACAAUUUAGUUUAUAUGAUCAUACUCAGUUGGUGAUUAUUACCAUUAUCGCCAUUACUUACCAACUCGUUUUCACGGCAUUUUAUAUCCAAACAACAAUAUCAUGAAUAUUUUUGACCUAUUUGAGACAAUGGCAAAGUGCAUGAUGAAAUUUGAUUCAACUUUUCACAUAGGGAAAAAAUUGAGACGCAGGCUAAAGCACAAGAACAUUUUUUCAAUUUGGUCUAAGACCUACCGGUGCAAAUGGAUCCAGGUUGGAGUAGCUCCUACCCUGAUCCACCUUGAAUGGGGUGGUCAGUAGCGACUAAAAGUAAAGGAAAAAAAUUAAUUCGUUCGGAAUCCGCGUUGAUUAGCUAAGAAAAUAGAGCUCCUUUCAUCCGUUUCGAUCUGCCAAAAUCUACUUAAGACCCGCUCCCCGGACUUCCCUUGAUCCAUCUUAAUCUGCCAAAAAUCUACCAAAAACCCGCUCCUGCCCUAACCCACCCUGAACGGAACGAUAAAUAGGGACAAAAUAUAUGAUAAAAAACUCACCCCGAAUAUGAUGCAGAUCGGGCUUUUCGGGUGUACGAACGCCGUCGACGCCGCAGCCGCAAUUAGAGCAUAUGGCUUGAUCGACCGGAGAUAGGUCCGGGUUGAGUCAAACCUACGAAUUUCUAGAAGCAUUCUAUUCUAGAAGCAUCUAGGGAUAUUUACUUCCUUGUUAUUUGAACUUAUCUAGUUGUUUGGAAAGUUGUUUACUUGGGAUUUUUUUAUUUUAUUUACUUCCCUAUUAUUUGAGUUUAUCUAAAAGCUUUUUAUUUGGUAGGGAUUUUAUUGUUAGGAUUUUUUUCCUGUGAGCUUAUCACUGUCAGGAAAAACUCUUUAAAUAUUCUAUGCAUGGGACGAUAAAGAAUUAAUGAAGAAGAAUGUUAUUUUGCCAAUGAGCUGUGUUCUCUAAUUUUCCUUCGCAUUUACGCAUCGAUCAGAGCAAGCCCGUAGGGAGCGAGUCCCUUUAUCUUUUUCUUUUUGCAAUUCCCUCUUCAACUUUAAGUCCUUUUUCCCCAUCAAUGCCGCCUGCUGCUAGCACCAUCGACGCCGCUUGCUGCCAGCACAUCAUCGCCGUCUGCUGCCCGCACUAUCAACGCUGCAUGCUGCCAGCAGCUCCGAAUCCACCCACACUUUCUUCGCCUCCCGCUAAUGAUGUAGUCGCCGACUGCUUUCACUGCCAUCGCCUUCUACCAUCGCUCAAUUGCUACGCUUGAGCCAUCCGAGAUCGAUUCGUCGUCAAGAACUCGCUGUCAACUUCUUUAACUGCCAAACCUAAACCUAUUCCUAUUUCUUUUAAUUUUACGUUCUUUCCAUUUUCUCCUCUAAUCCAUUUGAGCCCUCCCUUUUGCCUGGUUUGCCUGACCCAACAGGUUGCAAUUGUCGGAUAGGCUGUGGACCCGUCACCCAACAACGAAUCGAGCAUCUUGCGGAUCCCUUGUGCGCUUGUUCUUAAUAAUAUCUCUUGCUGAGCCCGACAGGUUAGAUCCGAACAUCUCAAACCCUUAGUUACUUUCAAUUCCCCGCCUUGCAUUGCCUCACUCUUUAGGGUCAUCUAAAUUAUUUAAUUUGUUGAGUAUCGAAUAUAAUUCCUAUUGUGCUAGCAUCAUAUUGUGUUUGAUGAGUUUCUCAACCUAGGAUUUGUCCCAAUUACAUUUAACUUCCUAAUCCUUUAUCCACAAAUCUUGCAUCAGUUUUGGUAUCAAAGCCCUAGGUUAAUGUAUGAUCCUUAGGAGCGGAAAACUUUAUCAGCCUUUACCAAAAUCGUCGAACCCUGCGACGAUGGAUUAGAUUUUACAACAAUUGACCUCUUUGAACACUAAAUUAGACGACAUAGGAAACCGCGUUGCCGCCCUAGAAACGAACCCUGAAAGAUUAUUUGCACAAAACAAUGAUAACAGAGAAGAAACUGCGUUAUGCACCCCUCAACCCCAUGAAGUUCAUCGGAUACAACCAAGAUUUAAUCCAAUCUUUCAAAAUGAAAACUAUGUUUUCGAGAUGACAUAACACAAAAAGUAAAAAUUGAUGCACCCACUUAUGAUGGAAAGUUCGAUCCUAAAACUUUUUAUGGACUGGCAUAUUGACAUGGACCAAUAUUUUGAUUGGUACGAAAUGUCUGAUAACCGUAGAGUACGUAUUGCCAAAAUGAAACUCACCGUCACGGCCAAGCAAUAUUGGAUAGGCGUUGGAAGGCACUUAGAAUGACUUGGCAAGGAGCCUAUCACUUUAUGGGCUGAAAUGAAGGCUAAAUUGAGAGAGAAAUAUUUGCCGACCACGUACAAACAAUAAUUGUACAAUCAAUUAAAUGCAUUUCAGCAAGGUUCUCUAUCAGUUGCCGAAUACAUGGCCAAGUUCGAUGAGAUGAAUGUCCGUUGUGACACUCGAGAAGAGGAAGAGCGGACCCUUUCACGAUUUCGCAACGGCUUGCACGGGAAGUUGUAGCACGAUAUUGCGCGCACCGUGCAGCCACAGUCAAGCAAGCUUUUCAACUCGCCUUGGAAUACGAAAAGUAUUUAAAGGCACCUGCUUGUCGAAUCAUUAGGCAAUGGGAUGAUAGGUACACAAGGAGCACCAACACGAAUUUCAACAAAACGAACAGUUUUCAAAAUCAACAAAUCCACGAUCCUAAGAGCAAGGGUUUAGCUACUAACAAAACCAAACCGGGAAACAUACAAGGUAGGUGUUAUAAUUGUCGCCAAAUAGGAUAUUAUGCUCAUAGUCCCAAGCAGAACAUGUUUGCCCAACCAACUGACGAAGAAUUUGACAACCUAGAAGAAAUCGCACACACUGCCGAGGAAAUCCCUAGUGACAAAAAAGGGUUAGAAACAAAUGAGUUCGGGGAAAACCCCGUUUACAAGUCAUGCGAUGUGUCUUGACACAACCUAGGGAAGAUGACGAUUGGAGACGCACUUCUAUUUUUCACACUUACACAAAGUGCGGAGAUAAAAGCUGCAAAAUCAUCAUAGAUGGUGAUAGUUGUAUCAAUGUGAUUUCUGAAGCCGCUAUAGGUCGUCUAAACCUUAAAGAUGAAUCCCAUCCUAACCUUCAUAGUGUUGCGUGGUGGACAAGACCACAAUGCCCAUAACAAGGCAUUGUUUGGUUUCACUUUAUUUUGCUACUAUUCCGACCAGAUUUGGUGUGAUGUCUUUCCUAUGGACGCCACCCAUGUGUUUUUAGGAAGGCCUUGGCUUGAUGAUCUAUCUGUCACACAUUACGGUCGACCUAACACUAUGUUUUUGCUCACAAUGGGAAGAAUAUUGUUUUGAAUCCAACAAAAUCCUCUCAACAAAAAUUUUUAUCAAAAAACUCUAAAUUCCCGAAAGAUCCGAAUUCAGGCUCCACUAAGGCUUCGUUUGGUUCGGGGUUAAGUAAGAACUAGUUAUUCUAGGGAUAGGGCUAAGUUCAGGGUUAAGGUAGGGUUAGAAUAAUUUUGUGUUUGGUUGAGAAUUGGGUUUAGUCCAGGUAUAAGUAAAAUAGUGUUUGGUUGUAGUGAAAUAAGAAGGAUAGUGGGUUGUUAUAAAUAGAUAUAAUAAUUUUACCCUAAUUUUUAUAUUUGAAUUUUAAUUUUUUAUUUUUUAUUUAAAACUUCAAAUUUAAAUAGAUAACUUUUAAAAUUAAAAAAAUUCAAAAUUAUAAUUUAUUUUUAAAUCUCAAGUUUAAAAAUUUAAAGUUAUAAAAUUUAAAUCAAAUCUAACAAAUAUAAAAUUUAAAAAAUUGAAAAUAACAAUUUAAAAUUUAAAUUUUAAAAUUUAAAAACUAAAAAUAUAAAUAUAUAUUUUAAGAUUGCAAAUUAUAAAUUUUUAAAAUUUCAAAUAUAAAAUAUUAAAUAAUUAUAAAUAAUAAUUUAAAAAUUAAAAUUUAAAAUUUAAAAAUAUAAAUAUUAAAGAUUACAAAUUAAAUAUUUUAAAUUUUUCAAAUUUAAAAUUUAAAAAUUAAAAAUUAAAAUUCAAAAAUAUAUAUAUUAAUUUUAAGAUUACAAAUUAAAUGUCAAAUUUAAAAUUAAAAUAAUUAAAAUUAAAUUUUAAAAUUUAAAAUUUAAAAUUUAGAAAUUAAAAAUAUUAAUAUUAAUUUUAAGGUUACAAAUUAUAAUUUUUUAAAAUUAAUAAUUUAAAAUUAAAAUUUUAAAAUUAUAUUUUAUUUUAAAUUGAAUUUGGGUGGGAUUAACUUUAAUCCCGAUGGUGGGGGAGGGGGAGAGGGGGUGGGGGUUUGUUAACCCCACCGCAAAUGGGCUAUCCACCCCCAAAAUAUUAGUGUUUAGGGUUAAAAGGGGGGUUAUCCCCCUUAACCCCCUCCCCUUUAACCCCCAACCAAACACUGGCUAAAGAUUUUAAAAAUCCUCCAUCAUAGAUUUCAAAGACAAAACCUGUUCACAUUGUUAACAAAAAAGAGUUUUGUAAAGAAAUUAAUUCUCAAGUUUUAUAUGCUUUAAUCAUCAAAGAGGUUUCCAAUCCACCUAAACCCGUUGAGAUCCCUCUAGUCAUCAAAACCCUCCUCUCCGAAUUUAGUUGCCUGACCCCAGAAGAAUUGCGUGAUGAACUUCCCCUACUUAGGGAUAUUCAACAUGCAAUUGAUCGUCCCCGGCUCAUCUUUACCUAGUUUACCACACUAUAGGAUGAACCCAAAAGAACACUCGAACUGAAACGUUAGGUAGAUGAUCUAGUUAGGAAAGGCUUUGUAAAGGAAAGCAUGAGUCCAUGCGCAGUACCAGCACUACUCACACCUAAAAAAGACCGAAGUUUGCACAUGUGCGUUGACAGUCGCGCCAUUAACAAAAUCAUGAUUAAGUACCGGUUUCCAAUUCCACGUCUGGAUGAUAUGCUAGACAUGAUGGCUGGGGCAUCUAUUUUCACGUAAAUUAAUCUCCAAAGUGAAUACCACCAUAUUCGAGUUAGGCCUGAAGAUGAGAGGAAGACCGCAUUUAAGACGAAAGAAGGAUUAUACAAGUGGUUAGUCAUUCCGUUCUGCUUGACAAAUGCCCCGAGUACUUUCAUGAGGGUUAUGAACCAAGAUUUUAGGCCUUUCAUUGGAAAGUUCCUGGCUGUGUACUUUGACGAUAUUUUGAUUUAUAGCCAUGCCAAGAAUGAACACUUAUAUCAUAUUCGCCAAGUAUUUGAAAUUUUAAGGAAAGAAAAAUUUUACCUUAACAUAAAAAAGUACGCUUUCAUGCAACCUCGUGUCACCUUUUUAGGAUUUGUUGUGUCCAAUGAUGGGGUAUCAGUUGUUCCCAAAAAAGCGAGAGCAACUAGAGAAUGGCCUGAACCUAAAAAUAUUCACGACGUUAGGAGCUUUGAUGGCUUAGCAAUUUUUUUACCGUAGGUUUAUUAAAGGCUUUAGUACUAUAAUGGCUCCAAUUACGAAUUAUUUAAAGAAGGGUGAAUUUAAAUGGACACAAUCGGCCAUUAAAGCUUUUAAAGAAAUUAAAUCUUUGAUAACAGAAGCACCAAUUUUGAAAUUGCCAGAGGGAGAGAGUUCAUCAGUUGACAAGAAAAAACGGCUCCAUCGGUAGAGUUUUGAACCAAGAAGACCACCCGAUAGCCUAUUUUAGCAAAAAAUUAAACGAGGCUAAACUGAAAUACUCUACCUAUGAUAAGGAAUUGUAUGCCAUGGUUCAAGCAUUAAAGUAUUGGCGACACUAUUUAUUACCAAAGGAAUUUGUAUUAUUUUCUGAUCAUCAAGCCAUUAGGGACUUCAAUUCACAAAAAAACUUAAAUUUUCGACAUGCGAAAUGGGUUGAAUACCUUCAAGAAUAUACCUUUGUCCUAAAACAUCAAGGCGGAACCGAUAACCAAGCCGCUAACGCCUUAAGCCGAGUCGUGGCCACUUUGAACAAUGUCGGGGUGAGCGCAAUUGGGUUCGAUAGCGUUAAAGAGGAAUAUCCCUCAUGUCCGGACUUCAGCGAAAUCUACUCCUCAGUUUUAGAGCGCAACUCUACUAACCCAGAUUUUGUCAUUCAAGAUGGAUAUCUUUUUCGGGGUGUUCGUUUGUCCAUCCCACAUGGCUCGUUACGUGAUUUUGUUAUUGGGGAACUCCACGCGAGAAGCUUAGCCGAACACUUUGGUCCAGACAUGUAAUAUCUGAAAUUUUACCAAUAAAGGAAAUUCAGAUUUUGAAUUUUUAAAUUGAAAUUGUGUGUGUGUGUAUAUAUAUAUAUAUAUAUAUAUAUAUAUAUGUGUGUGUGUGUGUGUGUGUGUGUGUGCGUGCGUGUGUGUGUGUGUACCUGGAUAUGUCGUGGAUCGCAGAGAGGGUCGGUAUCGUCGCAAAUCGGCGACCAAAUCGAACGAAACAAAAUUGUAGAUUCGAUGCCCCAGUCGUGCUGAACGCGCUGGCACGAUCCGAUUGGAAAUCCGACGGACGAAUCUCCGGGAAUCGCAAAUUGUUCGCUAAGGGGUCGAAAUUGGCAAAACGGAAAAAUUGCGAAAAACCCAAUAUUUUACGUACCGUUUUGCGUGAUUUUGAACAUCGAGGUGCGUACACGCAAGAUACACACGCUGGCAGGGACUGGGCUGAAAAUAAUCAGCUUUGGGGGACCUUUUUGCAAAAAGUACUCAUAAUAUAUAUAGUUGCAACUAGGGUUUCAUAGAGGAAACCUUAGCUCUUGGACUCCCCUCAGCUCAACUAACCCUAGCCGUCACCAGCAGCCCCUGCCCUAGCCAUGAGCACACCCCGGCCGCUGGCAAGCUCCCUCGGCCGCCAGAAAAGCUGACCCUACCUCCCUCUCAAUCUCUCUCUCCACCUUGCCUCCACCACUGUAGCCAACAACAACAGGGAAUCACUCGCUCGCGCCGAGCCUUCGUUCUCUAGCCAAGAACCCCACCCUCCAGCACCGACCUCGCCGGCCCCCGCAGCCCGCAUGCGCCGCCUGCGCCGCCUGGGCUCCCUGCGGCCGCCCAAACCUAGUGCAGGCCGAGUCUGGGCCAUCCUGGCCUCCGUGCGCCGCCACCGCCCUUGAUCGGCCGCGCCGCCCUCCUUGGGCUUCCGGCGACCCUCCGAUCGCCGCUGUCGCCGACCUCGCAAGCUGCCAGCCGCCGCAUUGCUCCCUACUGCUGCCCAGCGUGAGCCCGGGCCGAGGCUGAGCCAUCUUCCAACCCGUGCGCCGCCGCCGACCGUGCUGCCGCCACCCACGGUCGGCGGCGCCGCCCUCCCUCGGUCUCCGGCGACGUGCCGCUGUCGCCCCGGCGCAUCCCCGGCAGCCGCCCGGCUGCAGUUGCUUCUCGAACCCGAGCCGAGCCGCAUGGGAGCGUACUGGUCCACCGCGCCACCAGCCGCUUCCUGCCGCUGGAAGCUCGAGCCACUGCACUAGGGGUGGCAAUCAGCUCGUUGUUCCGAGCGCGUCGUGAUUCGGCACUUCGAAAUAGCUUUCGAGAUCCGGCUCGUCGUUUUAGUAAACGAGCGACACGAGCCUGGCAUUUUUCAGCUGUUUAAUAACAAGCCGAUACACGAUUGGUCGGUAGCUCGCUCGUUUUGACCGAUAACGCUCAAAUACAUAUAUUUAUAUUUAUAUAAUUUUUUAAUUUAGUAUUUCUUAUAUAUAAAUAAAUAAUAUAUAUAAUAUAUAUUUUUAUUAUAUUUUUAGCAAAAAAAAUUAUAAAUGCGAGCUUAAUUAUAAAAAGACUCAUUUAUAGUAAAGCUUCACACUUAUUACAUCAAGUCUAAUGAAUAAGAUUUUAUAAAUUUUAUUUUUUAUAAUAUAUUUAAUCUAAUCCUUUUUCCACUAUUUCAUUGAUUCGUUGGCCAGCUCUGUAGCCAGCUCGUGUUCGGCUGUUAUAAACGAGCCGACACGAGCUGGCCCGCUAAAACGUCAUGGCCCGCUAACCGCUAAGUAUCGAGCCGAAAAUCGCAGCUCCGUGUUCGGGUUUAAUAAACGAGCCAAACACCGAGCGACCCCAGCCUUAGCUUGUGUUCGGCUCGUUUACACCCUUAGCCCCCACUGAUCGGCCGCACCCACCUCUGGCCGGCCCACCCGCCGUCCAACCACCACCGGCCACCCCCGGGCUCCAACUAGCUCCGGUAAGCUUUAACUAGUAUUCUGCACACUUUUUUUGGGGUUCUGGUCGCUUUUCCAACGAUCCGAGGACACCCCGACACUCCCGGAAAUGAGCACGAUGAUCUCUAAUCCGUGCCGAACAUCGUGCUCACCUCCGUUAGGGACAGCAAAGCCUCAGUUUACGUGCUAAACGCGGUUUAGGCGUUGUGCGCGCUAUUUCGCUGAACUUCGCGUCGCUCGCGCACUCGCCACAAUGGCCGGCAGUGCUCCGAAGCAUGAGCACGGCCUCCGGCACAUCAAGACUUGACAGCGGGUGUCUCAGCCAGGCUAGUAAGUACUCGGUUUGCGCUGUCGGGCCGUAAAACCCCGAAAAUCACAUAAAAUGAUGUGAUUUUAUGUAGUCGCAGAGGUUUUUAUGCAAUUUUACGUUCCGUGGUUGAUGUUGGCAGCGUGUGCGGGCAGCGGGUGACCUCUGGACUGGUUGUCCAAGGCCCCAGGCCUUUUCGGAAAUUGAAUGUUGAUUUUCGGUGUGUUUUUCGGCGAAAUCCGCCGACGGAACGCGAUUUCGAUUCAGAAUUCUUCCGACAGUGCCUUAACGGUAGAUCUUGUUGUCGCUAAGCCUUGUUGGCGUAUCACUCGCGUCGUUUCGAGGGUUCAGAAAUGACGGGUGAGCGACGGUGGGUUCCGGUGUCGAAUUUGACACUGCGGGAACCCGAAUUGGAACGAUUAUCCGACGAUAAUCGUUUCGAUGUAAGGAGGUGUGUUUGCUGCCAAGUCACACGAAUAAUUGUGUUUAAUAGCAGCGGGUGACUCGUAGCAUGAGUUGGUGAGUUCCGGGACAGUUUGUGGGUCCCGGCGAAGUUCCGGUGCGAUUUUCGAGACUUUCGGCGUGUUACGACAAUAGGUUUGGGAAACCAAUUCCCGUGGGUUUACAUGUGGGGAUUGUGAGUUAGUGGUUCGUGUUCGUGGGGUGGAUUCUAACCCGGUGGACCCUUCGUAGGUCCGGUUGAUUCUUCUCUGUAGUCCUGAGACCAGUGCCAGAUACGUACAGGUGGGUACUUUGACCCGAAGUCGGUAUAGUGGUACAUGCUCGGUGGUAUCUUCUUAUCCUUACUCUUGUUAUUACCUUGUAUAUAUAUAUGUUGAGCCUUGCACCUUUAUUACCUCUUUAUCGCUCUACUUAGUUUGUUUACCUAUCUAGCAUCAUGAGUAGAAGUAGAGCAGGUUUAUNUUACAUGUGGGGAUUGUGAGUUAGUGGUUCGUGUUCGUGGGGUGGAUUCUAACCCGGUGGACCCUUCGUAGGUCCGGUUGAUUCUUCUCUGUAGUCCUGAGACCAGUGCCAGAUACGUACAGGUGGGUACUUCGACCCGAAAUCGGUAUAGUGGUGCACGCUCGGUGACAUCCUUUCCACUCUUCUCCUAUUAUUAUUUUUGCAUGAUAUAUGUUGAGCCUUGCACCUUUAUUACCUCUUUAUCGCUCUACUUAGUUUGUUUACCUAUCUAGCAUCAUGAGUAGAAGUAGAGCAGGUUUAUAAUUACAUGUGAGAUUUGUGACCUAGUUGGUCGGUUCUCGUAUCUCGUACUAUGACCUAUUCGGUCGGUUCAUUGCAUCUAGCAUUAUGACCUACUUGGUCGGUUGGACUACUUGGUGACCUAUACGAUCGGUAUACCCUGAGGGGUAGGAUUGUCGGCUAGUUGCCGACGGUUGGCUAUUAAGCAUAUCCUCAUUGAUUGCCCGAGACUCGUUUGCAUUUCACGAACACCAGCGGUCUGAUUCACCGCAAGAUAGUGUUCUUUUCCGUAAAAAUGGUAGGAUGUGCCAGCCCGUGAGCCUAGCGGUCAGAACUGGAUUAUAUGCAGCCCGUGAGCCCAGUAGUCAGAACUGGAUUAUAUACAGGUAGAGUGGCAGUGGCAUACGCCUGAGGUCUACGGACCGAUAGGGCAGGUUUCAGAUUCGGUAUUUUGGACUUGUCGUCCAGUUGAUGCAUACAUACAGUAGCGAUAGUUAUUCAUUUAUACAUCUCGUUCAUUUAUUAUCAUUGCUACUGUAUUAUCCUUACCCAUACCUUUGUUUAUUCUUGUUGACUGAUGAGUACCCCUCGCCCUCGUCGACUUGCGGUUCGUGGGGAGCGUACCUAGUGAUCGAUAGAGCUGUCGGACCAGUCUCUUCGGUUUAAUUCUUAAACUCAGUUUCUUUUAAUAAGUGACUCAGAAAGUAUUAUGGUUCAGUAUUUCAUAUUAAUUGAAUAAUUGGGAUUUCGUGAAUGUAAUAAAGGAUUUAUGGAUUCUUGCAAAAAUGAAAAUGGCUUUCUACCCUUCGUGGUAGCGUGCUUUUAAAGAAAAAAGAUUUCCGUGUGGGAAACGGAAACAGUUUUAAAAGGAUUUUCUAGUUUUCCUGGUUAUUAGCAUUUCAAAACGAGUUUUCGGGUAGGAAACAUUUUAAACUGCUAGAUGUGGAUUUAUGAAACUUGUGAUGAACUGAAUGAGGAUGUGAAUGGUGUAUGGAUAUGUGGAUAUUCAUAUGUUAUGGUUGUAUCUUGUAUUUGUGCGACGCCAUGCAAAUACAGGGGAGACUCUGUCCAUGUGAACAGUGAACUUCCUUUAUUUGUGGCGGAUUUGACAUACCCUGGGGGUCAAGAUUUUCAAAAAAAAAAAAUUGGACACUUCAGCAUUGGUUUUUAAAUUAAAAAGGGACCCCGAGGCGUGACAAGACAACUAUUUCUAUAGUUGAGGAUCGAUUCUACUGGCCAAGCCUCAAAAGAGAUGUUGUGCGCAUUAUGGCACCAUGUGGGACUUGUCAAAGGGCCAAAGGUGGUCGGAAGAACGCAAGAUUAUACACGUCCCUGCCUACACCACAUUCUCCUUGGCAAGAUCUAAACAUGGAUUUUGUUUUAGGUCUACCAAAAAUGAUUAGAACGCACGAUUCUAUUCUUGUUGUAGGUGAUCAUUUUUCUAAAAUGGCUCAUUUUGUUCCUUGCCGUAAGACAUCCGAUGCUACUCAUGUUGUAAAACUUUUCAUGGCUGAAAUUGUAUAUCUCCAUAAUUUACCAAAAUCAAUCGUGACUAAUAGGGAUGUUCAUUUUGUUAGUUAUUUUUGGAAAACAUUGUGGAAAACUAUGGGCACAAAAUUAUUUUUCUCAUCUUCGCAUCAUUCGGAGACUGACGGCCAAACAGAGGUAGUCAAUCAGAGUUUGGAAAACCUACUUCGAUGUCUAGUCGGUGACAAUGUUAAAAAUUGGGAUUUUAUUCUACUGCAAGCAGAAUUUGCAAAUAAUAGUUCAAUCAAUCGAACCACCGGAAUGAGCCUUUUUAAAAUAGUGAUGGUAUAUGACCCAAACAAACCAAUCGAUUUAAUUCCUCUUCCUAUAGAACAAAGACCUAGUGAACAAGCAUCUUCAUUUUGACAACAUCUACGGGACUUACAUUACGAAAUUCGACGAAAAAUAAUUUUUAAAUAAUGAAAACUAUAAGAGGAGAGCUGAUGCUCACAGGCGAGAAGUUGGAUUUAAGGAAGGAGAUUUGGUGAUGGUGCAAAUUAGACUGGAGAGGCUUCCACACGAGACUUUUAAAAAGCUACAUGCAAAAAAUAUGGGUCCGUUUAAGGUUCUUAAAAAAAUUAGGUCUAAUGCCUAUUUGUUGGACUUGCCAUCUGACAUGGGAAUUAAUCCUACUAUCAAUGUUGAGGAUCUUACUUUAUACUAUCCAGAUAUACAAAAUUCGUUGUCCUAUUCAUUUUCAUCUCCACUUUCCCAAGAACCCUAUGUGGGAAAAGAAAAUUGACAUUGAGGCGAUCCUUGACGAUCAUAUUGUGUCGACAAGGGAUGGCGGAGAGCGCAACUUUUUGGUCAAAUGGUUUAUAUCGGCCUAACGAGAAUGCGACUUGGAUUUUACAAGAGGAACUUCAGCGGUUGGACCCUAGUUUGUAUGAAGAGUACAUUUAUAACAAUUCAACGGAGUCGAAUUUUUCAAAGGCGAAGAGAGCUGAUGCGGAUCGGGCUUUUCGGGUUUACGAACGUCAUCGACGCAACAACCGCAAUUUGAGCAUAUGGCUUGAUCGACCCAAGAUAGGUCUGUGCUGAAUCGAACCUACGAAUUUCUAGAAGCAUCGUAGGUUCUAGAAGCAUCUAGGGAUAUUUACUUCCUUGUCAUUUGAACUUAUCUAGUUGUUCGGAAAGUUGUUUUUUUUUAUUUUAUUUAAUUCCCUUUUAUUUGAGUUUGUCUAAAAGUUGUUUAUUUGGUAGGGAUUUUAUUGUUAGGAUUUUUUGUUUUGAGCUUAUCACUGUUAGGAAAAGCUCUUUAAAUAUUAUAUGCAUGGGAUGAUUAAGAAUUAAUGAAGAAGCAAGGAUUCAAGUGCCGGCCGCCGGUGCGGCACGUACCGUGGCCCCAAGAAGCGGGCACGGAACAGAGGGGGUCUCAGACCCCCCACUCCGUGCCCUGGCACACGAGGCCGUGCCACACGAGACAGAGCGGCACAACAAUGCGUGCCGCGGCACAGUGCCGUGCCGGCACUGCAAAAUUUUUUUUUGCUUCUUUUUUUUGCUUUUUGUUUUUUUCUUUUUGUUUUAUUUUUUGGGGUACCCGAAGCAUUCUAGGUACCCUACAAUCCCAAAAAAUAUUACAAAUCGAAGAUCUAUUUGUUAGGCAAGUUAAAAAAAAUUAUAAUUUAAAUUUUUUUUGUUUUAUCAAUAUAGGGCAAAUUUUUAAUUUACAUAUCCGAUCCCUCCGAUUCCACCACAGACAUCCAUUUUUUCUUUACAAAUUAUUUUAUCAAAAUUUGACGCACCAGCGAAACUUUUGCCAAAUUAGAGAAACAAAAUCGAAUUCAAUAAACAAAUUUUGAGGCACAUCAAACAUAAAAUUUUAUUUCUGCGUUAGCAGAUUGAAAAUACCAAUAAAAUUAAAAGUUAAAUUAAAUUAAUUGAUACUUAAAUUUAUUUAAUUUAUUUGUCAUACAAUUUAUCGCUUAAUUUUUUUGAUAGAUCUACUAAUUUUUUGAAAAAUUAAUUAAAAAAUAAUUUUUUUUCUAACCUGUAAAAAUUUCUAUUCUGCAUCAGAUAUAGUUGUACUUUAUAUACAAAAAAGCUUAUAAGUAUGUUAAUUGAUGAGUAUAGUAAGCUAUACAUAGCAAAUAUUCAUAAUUAUUUGAUUAAAUCUUUCAAAAUAAUAUUAUAAAAGUUUAUUGAUGCAGUCACCGAGUGCUUCCACUGUCGUCACUUUCUACCAUCGCUCGAUUGCUGCGCUUGAGCCUUCCGAGAUCAAUUCGUCAUCGAGAACUCGCCCUCAACUUCUUUAACUACCAAACCUAAACCUAUUCCUAUUUCUUUUAAUUUUACGUUCUUUCCAUUUUCUCCUCUAAUCCAUUUGACCCUUCCCUUUUGCCUGGUUUGCUUAACCCAACAGGUUGCAACUGUCGGAUAGGCUGUGGACCCAACAACAAAUCAAGCAUCUUGUGGAUCCCUUGUAUGCUUGUUCUUAAUAAUAUUUCUUGCCGAACCCGACAGGUUUGAUCCGAACAUCUCAAACCCUUAGUUACUUUCAAUUCCCCACCUUGCAUUGCAUCGCGCUUUAGGGUCAUAUUAAAACUAUUUAAUUUAUUGAGUAUCAAAUAUAAUUCCCACUGUGCUAGCAUUAUAUUGCGUAGAUGAGUUUCUAAACCUAGGAUUUGUCCCAAUUACAUUUGACUUCCUAAUCCUUUAUUCACAAAUCCUACAUCAGAAUCUCUCUCCAAGAAAAUAGGGUAAAAGGUGGGAGGCCCCUCUCACCCUCGGAUCCGCCCUAUUUGCAUCCCUACUAAGGUAAAAAAUUUGCAUUAAUUUUCACCCUACAUUUUAACACUGUCUCAACCCAUUUGGGUCUAUUCUUGAGCUAAUUAUGCUACUUCACUCGAAUUGUUCGGCAAAUCAUGUCAAACCUAUAUUUGAACAUAUUUCCAACUUUCAACUCAUAUUAUAGAUCAAAAAUUAAAUAAAAUGAUCUUUCUUUCUUUACCACAAUUAUCAAAAUUAGUAUAUCUUAUUAGACAAUUUAUUCAGUUUAUACGAUCAUACUCAGUUGGCCGUUAUUACUAUAUCAGUAUUACUUACCAACACGUUUUCAUUAAGUUCUAUAUCCACACAAAAACUAUCAUGAAUUUUUAGACCUAUUUGGGACAAUGACAAAGUGUGCAUGGGGAAAUUUGAUGCGACUUUUCACAUAGGGGAAAAAUUGAGACACGGGCUAAGGUGCAAGGAUUUUUUUUUCAUAAUUUAGCCUGGCAUGUGAGUGCAAAUGGAUCCAUGUUGGUGAAGCUCCCGCUAGGGCUGGCAAAUGAGCGAGCCGGCUCGCGUUCGACUCAAUAUUUGGCUCGCUCGAGCUCGAGCUCGACUCGAAAUUAAAUGAGCCGAGCUUGAACAAAAAAAAAAGGCUCGAAAUUCAUUUCAAGUCGAGCUUGAGUAUUACUCGGCUCGUUCGAAUUAGGCUCGAAAAGCUCGAAUAUAUAUAUAUAUAUAUAUAUAGGGGACCGCAAUCAUCCCAACCGUACAAUUCUUGAUCAAAGGGUCAAAAAUUCGAAAGUAUCAAAUCCUCUAUAUUUCCGAUAGCAUAGUAGUUCUACACUAUAUAUAUAUAUAUUAAAAAAUAUAUAAAUAUAAUAUAUUUUAAUUAUAUAUAGGCUGAGUGAAUAACCUGAGUUUAGUUAAAAUUGGGCCAAUGUUAUUGGUCCAAAAAAACAAACCCAAUAGACAAAUAAAAAAGCAAAAUUCUACUAAAUUCAUACUUUUUUCCUUUCUUUCUUUCACAGAGCUCUAAAUUUUCAAUCUGUUUCUCUCUUUCUCUUUUUCUCUGUCUCUAACUCUAAGUGGCCAAGCCUGAAGCCCUCCAAGUCACCAAGUAACAGCAUAUGCCCGCCGUUGCCUAUCUUGCUAUUAAUUGUGUACUUAAGAAAAUAUACAUAAUAUUUUUAAAGUAAAAAAUUAUUUUUUAUAUAAAAUUUUAAUUUUAGUUAUAUAUGAUUGGAUAGUUUAAUACAAUAUUUACCUAUAUAAUUUAUUUAUUUUUGACCGCAUAAAUGAAAAUGAAUAAUAUGGAGAUUGAAGGCGAAAGAGAAGACAUGUGAGGCUGAAAAGAUUAGAUAUUCAACUCAUAAAUUAUUUUUGUUCAUAUUAUAAUACCAUAUUUCAUAUAAUUAUUUUGUACUUUGAACUAUUAGACAUAUUUUUGUAUCAAAUUGUAGAUAAUGUUCUAUACAAAUUAAACUAUUGAUCGUACGAUGUUGAGAAUUUCAAGCGGCUCGUUUAAGGCUCGAGCUCGCUCGACUCGAAAUUAGGCUCGCUCGAGCUCGGCUCGAAUUAAUUUCAAUCCAAGCUUGAGCUUAAAUUUAGGCUCAAAAUUAAUUUCAAGCCGAAUUUGAGCUGAGGUAAGCUCGCUCGAGCUCGGCUCGUUUGCACCCCUAGCUCCCGCCCUAAUCCGUCCUCAAUGGGGUGGUAAAUGGGGCAAUAAGUAAAGAAAAAGAAUAGCACGUUGGGAAUCCACCAUUAUCUAUUAAGAAAAUGGAGCGGAAGGUAGGGCAUCCCUUCCUUCCCUUGAUUCAUCAUGAUCUACCAUAAAUCUACCAAAAACUUGUUCUCACCCUAACCCACCUCGAAUGGAGCGAUAAAUGGGGGCAAAAAAUAAGAUUAAAAACUCACCCCAAAUAUCUCGCCAAGAAAAUGGGGUGAGAGGUGGGAGACCACUCCCACCCCCCAGAUCCGCCCCAUUAGCAUCCCUAAGUGGGGGCAAAAAAUAAAAUAAAAAACUCACCCCGAGUAUAUCACUAAAAAAAUAGAGCGAGAGGUUGGAGACCCCUCCCGCCCUCGGAUCUACCCCAUUUGCAUCCCUACUAAAGUCCUAUUUGGAUGUCGAAAUAAGUUAUCCAUUAAUAACUUAUACCUUAUGAGGAUUUCUUUUGUGAUUGCAAGUUAGGAGCUUGAUUUAGCUCUUUCGAAGCUCGACAACCAUGAUUUAAUAGGACAAAAUACUUCAAAUCUGAGGUGAUUUAUCUUAUUCCAAGAAAAUGACUUGGAUGCCAAAUAUAGCAUGCUUUUCUAGACAUUUGAUCCUACUCUUUCAUCCACCAAAUAUUGCAAGCUUCUUGAACAGAUAAAAGAGGAGUCAAACAAGAAGUUCAUGCAACAAAGCAUGCCCUAAAAAGAAAAAUAUAGAGAUAUCAUCAAUUUCAUUGUCUACAGAAAGAAUUAUCUAGCUACAAAAAAGGUUCUAAAGUAAAUUCUCCAACAAACUACUCUAUCGCUUCCAGUUUAUUGACAAAGAGUUAUCUAGCAUGCCCUUCAUUUCAGAAUUUCUUGAUAAAGAAUUAUCUUGCUACUUCCAGUUUAUUGACCCAUAAAUACUAAAACAUACAGAUAUAUGUAGACAAAUACAUGCUACAAGAGUUGGAGAAAGUAAAAGGAAAAGAAAAUCAUGCAAUCAUAAAGUACAAUCAUAAUAUCUAUUAACAUUUAUUAACAACAAAGGUCACAAUUGCAUGGACAAGGCACAUUAGGAAUUUCUCAUGGUUUCACAACUCAUGCAUCAUGUGUUAGAAUUCAAUUUCCAAUCAAUAUGCAAAUUUUUGGACGACUCUUUCCUCCUAUGGAAAGUUUCCUCUUUAGCCCACAAACAAUUCACAUGGCAAGGCUACUACUAUUCGAUUAAUAAAUUUCUUUAUUAUAAGGGUGAAAAAUCUUAACAUAGAUCAAUACAUAAACAACAGAGUACAAUUAAACUACACUGUGAUGGUCCACAAGGUCCACAAACAUGGCAUAACUUACUAUAAUAAGAAAAAUCAUAUUGUUGGCAUUUUCAUGUUUGUAAUAUUAAUUAGCUGUACAAUAAGUCAACCAGAAUCUUAUCAACGAAAAAAGAUAAACCCAAUUAUGUUUUGGUUGUUGAUUGGCUAUUUCUGAGAUUUCUCAUUAUAAGAAAGAAGGAGUUAAGAGAACACUUAAGUGACUACUUAAACAUGACAAUUGUUUGACCAAUAAUCUAUCCAACAGGUAUGAUUAUUGAUUGGCUAUUUCUGAGAUUUUUCAGUUCAAGAAAAAGGGGUUGGAGAAAGAUUGAGUGACUACUAGAACAAGACAUAAUUUUUUGACCAGAAACCUAUCCAACAGGUAUUUCAUUAAGUAAUGAUUUGAAUGUUUAGAAUUCAAAAGCAGCCUGAGACACCAAGAUUAACCAAAAGUAUCAUAUCAUACGUAAGCAUCAACCAAGCUGUCACAAUGUCUGGAAUAUAAAGAAACCUCAAUGGAAAUAAGAAAGUACAAAUUAUCAAUCAUUUGCAAAAAAAGCUCAAAAUUAUCAUUGAGAAAUCAAGUAGCCAUAGAAUGCCAACAGGUUCGCUAACUUCUUUAUUAUAUGAAACGUAAAUUGGAAAAUGCAUAAUUUAGUAUUUAUCAGUUAACUUUAGGUGUCAACACCAAAGCAUACCUUCACUCGAAUCUCCACCAUUGUUACCGCCAUUAUCUGUAUCCUUUUCAUUGUCAUCACCAUCCUCAUCAUCUUCAUCUUCAUCUUCAUCUUCCUCUUCUUCAUCAUCAUCACUCUCAACUUCUAUUCUAGGCUUUGGUAGAGGUAUGUAAUUGAUUGAAGAUCUUCGGCGCGAACUGGUGACAAUAUUGCUUAGAUCAAUGCCUUCGAGUUCUCUUGCUCUUUCCUUUCUCUUUUUGACAGCCUUAAUCUCUGAGUUUGACAAUUUCAGGUUAUUCCAUACAGACAAAGAUAGAACUAAGAUUGCACAUAUCACCAUUGAUAAAAGCAUUGACCUUUUGACCAUAAAAAGGCAGCUGAAUUUGAUCUACUUAAAAUAUAUAUAAUAUAUAACUAAAACCAAGGAUACUUCUUUGGAACGAUGAUAUUGUAGCUACAAUUGCGACCUAGAUGUCAUGAGUGUGAACCUCAAAAAUAGUAUGUACAAUUGCGACCUAGAUGUCAUGAGUUUGAACCUCAAAAAUAGUAUCUUCAAAUGAGCCAUAGUUUACAAGGCGCAUAGGGGGGAGAGAGAGAGAGAGAGAGAGAGAGAGAGAGGCCCCACAAUGCAUGAACUUGUGCUCCAAGCUUUUAUUGUAUAUAAGGACAUGAUACGCGUAGCCUGGUGACCCACUUCAACUAUAUGUUAGGUUUCAUAACAAGGAUUGCUCAACUCACAGGAGGCUCUCUAAGAAACAAAAUUACCGACCCCGUAGACUAGAAAGAAGGUCAACCAGCAUCCGCAAGUCGUAAAAGUGACUAACCAAAGUCAUAACACCACGGUAGGAAGGUAGCUAAAUUUAAGGGAAGAAAUAGACAUACCAUGUGCCUAUGAAGGACGACCUGGAAAGGCAGGCACGACAAUGGCUGGGUACUACUAAGAAAGCCAAGCCAGCUCCAUGAGACUGCUCACUUUGAUAAAGCUACAGCCUACAUGCCAAUAUGAUACAAUCUAUAUGGUGAUGCAUUUGCAUUGGAAUCUAUAGCGAACAAAUAAUGCUAAAAAGAUUAAAUUUGAAGGGAUACUCUUUUAGCUUCGCACACAUAUAACAGCCAACACUAAUUUUACCUCUCUAUGGAGUUUGGAGGAAGAUGAAUUACAGAACAAAUCAACGAUUUAGUGGCCUGUGACUUAGUUGCCUGUUUAUAUUAGGGACUCUAAAUAGUUGUAUUGCUGCAACCCCCAUCAACGCAGCAAAUGAUCUCCAUAUCUCUAUAUCAAAGAAUUGUGCAACAAGGGGAUUCCAGAAAAUAUUAGUAGCAAGAUAUUGGAGAAUUUAUGUGUAGGUUUGGCUCACUGAAGAUUCCAGAUACUAUGACACUUUGACUUGCAAACUCUGAAAAAAUAGGACACUCAAAAUUUGUACCAAAACAUGAAUAGAUCCCCUACAAAAUUUCACUAAAUACUGAAACCAUGGAAAAAAUUUCAAAAAAAAAAAAGGAAGCAUUGGAGAAGGUCAAGAUCCGAAAAUAAUUGAUGUUCACUUCUUGAUGCAACAUAACAAAUUAACGAGUAUAAUUUCAAAAUUACCUUAACAAUGCCAAUCAAAUCUUCAACUGGUGAAAAAGUCUGAUUCUUAUACUACAUUAAAUCUGGCUCUUACUUUGCUCAGCUGUAAGAGUUCAAAAUGUUUUUGCAGAAAUAAUGCAAUAUACAAUAACAGUCAAUAGUAUACUAAAAUUAUCAGUUCAAACUUUUUAAGAUGCUUUAGCUCAAUAGGUCAUUGCCACAUAAAUUAUCAUGAAUGUGUGAUUCUUGAUUUGUUGUGUGAACAAAUUGAACCUGAAUAUCUGGACAAAUAAACUAUAAUAGGUUGCAUACAACUUCUCAAUUAAAUAAAAGACAAAUACAAAGAUAUUUGUUUCAAAAUGCAUAUGCAAGUAGGCUAGCAGCAUAUGUCUCCAUCUCUAUCUAUAUUUAUAUCUGUAUCCACAAAUAUCAGUACAAACAUGGAUAGGAACAAAUGUGAGAAGUAUGCUUGCAUGAAUGCAUGCAUGUAUACUGAAUGCCAUAACUCUAGCAUAUAAUAUCCUUGAUUUUAAAAUUUGCCAUAUCAAAUGUGUAUCUGUAGAUCAUAGAUUCUGUAGUCACCAUCUGGCUAUCCAACUAAUGAGGCAAAUGAAACCAAAACUUUUUUCCUUAGGCUUUAAAUUUGAAAUAAGCAGGAUGUUCCCAGUUCUAUAGAAAUGAACAUCUGACUGUGCAUUGAAACGUGAAUGUCUUGUGAUAGCAACUCUACGGCGAUAAGUUGUAAGAUCUCAAUGGCAAUAACAUCAUAUGCCAAUCAGCUCAGUGAGAAGAAUAAUUAACCAAAGACUCAAUAUGUGUUGUCUAAAUCCUAGAAAAAAAAACAUAAGUAAUAAAACUUCAACCUUUUUCAGUAGGAUUACUUGACAGCCCUUCCUUUUCAAGCAUCUCUUCUAACUCCUUUAUCAGGUACUCCUCACGCUUGCUUUCAGGAGCUUGUUUGACCCUCUUAUAAACUGAUGGAGGGACACUAAUUUACACCCAAAAGAUAACUUGAUUAUGCUUGAUUAAGUUUUAUUCUGGAAUAACAAGAGAGUGGAGAGCUAAGUACCUCAUUCCACAAGAUUUAAUUAUCAACUUUAGAUGCUCUACUUGUUUCCCAUAUACUUGAGUGGCCUUUUCUCGUUUAUUCUGCGUGUUAAGAAGACAAAUGUAUGGGAUACUAUAUAAUAACAUGAAGAUACUGUUGCUAUUGAGAAACUCAGUACCUUCACUUUCUCCUCGGUGGAUGAAUGAGAAUGACCAUCUUCAGAAGAGUUUCUUCCAUCUUCUUCUAAACUGCGAUCUAAAUCCUUUUCUGCUGGCUUUUGCCUUUUUAUACCUUUGGUGCUUACUUUAAUUUUUUGAGCCUCCUUUUUCAGCCUUUUCUCAUUAUCAAGUUCUUCAUCCGCACUAUGCGUAUCAUCAACAUCAGAAGAAUCUGAUUCUUGAUGCACUCUUUUUCGGCCUUUGCUAGUAUCUUCUUCAUCCACAUUUUGCGAACACUUCUUACUGCUCUUCUUCACCCCAUUUGUGGAUUCGACAACUCCUUCACAUGAUUGUAUGAGCUAGAUAGAAUCCAAAUGAGAGGAGGGAAAAAAAAGGUUACAAAGAAAACUGCCAUAUUGUGCUUCUAUAAAUCGUAAUAUAUAAAACUCGAUCACUGAGUAACAAAUAAAGCUUACUACAUUAAAAACAUACUUCAUCUAAUUCUUUGCUAAUAAAACUUUUAUAGGCAUCAAGAGCUUUCUUCUUUAGUUUGAGAUCAUCUUCCAAAAUCCUACGAACUUCCUGUAAAGUAAUACGCCUGUAUAUGCAAGUAGAUAAAUUAAUUUCCUUACGGAAUGAAAAAAUAAAAAUAAAAAAAGACAAAAUAAGAAUAUAAGUUAAUCAACCCCAAUAAUUACAUACUCUAAAUUAUCUCUUAUGUAAGUAGUUCUCUUUUUCAGAGCCUUCUUUACCACGUCCUCAUUGAGGCCAUGAAAUUCAGCAGCUUGACUAUUUCCACUUUCAUGCUCUGCUGGUACAUUUCCAUCCAAAGCAGAAGAUCCGUCUAUCUUCUCUUCGAGGCCACUGCUAUCAGUUUUUAACUGCAAGGCUUCAGAUCCUUCUUUGACAGUUUGAGCAGCCGUUGCUUUGACCUUUCCUGAAGUUUCAGACAGCUUCUCAUCUUCAGCACCAUAAAAGCACUGUUUCAUCAACAAUCAAACUAAGUCCAUAUAGCAUCAAGAUCACAAAACAGAAAACAAUAUCAACAUGUAUACUACAAAUCAGAAGAUAGAAAAUGUUCAGGCCUCAGUUGGUACUACUACCGUACUUUUGUUUUCUCAAACUCUAUGAUAUAGGGUGUGCCAAGGGAUGGUGGAUAUUUGGUAACAAGAAAAGAAAAACCAAAAUCUAGGCCUUAUUUAGCUAUCAUUAUGUGUUCUUUUAUUUAUCAUAAAUAAACUCUGUAAUUGAUUAUGUUAGCGCAAGGCAAUGGUAGUUGAAAUCGGUGAAAAUUUGUCAUAGUGGAGCGGUAGAACAUGGGUAGUUGAGGGCAUCUAAGGUGGAGAGACCCAGAGAUGUCAAGAUUGUACUUGGUCGAGGUGUGUGCGCAUGCGUGAGAGAGAGAGAGAGAGAGAGAGAGAGAGAGUCUAAGGAGGAGUUCACGCUACCAUUCCCACUUUCGACCAAGUCAGAAUUUAGGGGGAAAAAAUGCAUUUAACAGGCAUAAAAAGAUUAUUGAAGAGCUGAUCAAGUAUAUGAAAUACCUCAUCCAAACAUUUCUUAAUAAACCGUUUAUGAACAUCUAGAGAGAAAGCCUCCUUUCCCAAAUCCUUCUCUAGUAUUCUUCGGACACCUUCAAGAGUCAACGAGCUACAAUAACAAAAAGUUUAGCAGCUUUACAAUUCAAACUCAUUGUCCGACGAGCAUCUACAUAACCCAUUAUGUAAGCCAACUAAUUCCAACUUUAAAACAAACAUUGAUUUCUAAAAGUAGAUAAGAAUCAAAUUUGUCUUUCAUGUAAAAACUAUCGAUAAAAGAAAAGAGCAAUUAAUGCAGAUAGGAAGGCAAUAUAGAAGCUAAUAGCCUACACAAUAACAGAUCACUAAAUUGUAUCAGCAAGAGCAAUUUGUAUACUAGUAAGCCAACCACAUUGUAGUGCUGAAUCCUAUAUUAUAUACUGAUAAAUGAGGAUACAGUCAAGGAUAAUUGAGCUAAAGCCAGUCAGCAACUGCAAUGGCAGCACAAGACACACAGUACUUGGACAAAGCUGAUUACCAACCAUUAACUAGAUCAGUCUCUCCAAUCAAACUUAACACAAUUUGUUUCAAUGUUCUGAAAUGGAAUGAGGAGGUCACAUAGCAUGUAGUCGGUCUCAUGGAGGAUAAACUGGAUGACAAAUUAUGGGUAAAUGGCUCUAGCUUCUCGCGUACCAACAUCAAGUCCGGAUUAACAAAUUAAGGCUAUCAAAUCUCACUCAUCACUUCAUAUUAGGAUGGACUCCAAAGAGCUCAUCCGCCAUAUAUAUAUAUAUAUAUAUAUAUAUAUAUAUAUAUAUAUAUAUAUNUAUAUAUAUAUAUAUAUAUAUAUAUAUAUAUAUAUAUAUAUAUAGAAUUAUGGGCUCAAUUAAUUACAACAAUUAGUUCCGCUAUUCAGCUCAAUUAAUUACAACAAUUAGUUCUGCUAUUCAAACGCAAUUAUACGAAAGCGGGCACCUACAUAAGCAAGUGAUCGAAGUGGAAUCAAUUCCGCAUAAUCAGUGCAAGCAAAGUUAAAAACAAAGGUGCAACAUGCUAUUACAUCGACACCUUACUCCCAAGAAGACAUGCAUCAACAGAAAAUAGUGAAAUGCCCAACAGCAGAGCUAAUUAGCAAGCUAAUGAAGAGAGAGAAGGGCAGACAGAAUGAACAGUGGAGCAGAGUUAAUACAUGCUAGGAAGAAACUUCCCAACGAAUGUGUGAUGUCAUACGGGAGAGGAGGAAAAGAAGAAGAAGAAGAGCGGGUAAAAGAAAGAAAGGGGAAAAGAGACUAGGGUUGAGGUUCUCAACUCAGCCUGCUCUUUGAAGUGGCUCACUCGCGCCCGCAUCGCCCUCGCUAUCUCCUCCUCUGCCUCUCCCUUCGCCUUCUUCGCCCCCUCCUCCAUGCCUCCUCAAAUUCCUCUUUCUCACAGUCCGUAAAUCAACAGCGGAAGUGGAAGCGGAAGCAGAAGCCGGGCUGCCGGACCAAAACCAAAAAACCAAAAAAGAGUCGUCGCCGCGCCAGGAAGAGAGGUCGGUCGUGGUGGAUUCAAUGGCUCGUGCCGCUUUGCAGACCCAAUACGGACCGAGUGGGCUCGGGCAGUUCGGGUCGAAGUGGGAUUUUGGGAUGCGCAACCUACAUGUAUACUUAAAAACUAGCAACUAACCCGUGCAAUGCACGGAUUUUAAAUUUAUCUUUUAAUUACAUUUUUUAUAUAAUAUAUAUUAAUUUUUACAUAUUAAUUUUUUCUAAUAUAUUUUUAUUACAAUUUUUAUAUAAUAUAUAUUAAUUUUUACAUAUUAAGCUUUUAUUAGAAAAAUUAUUGAAUCAAAUUAAAAUAAAUACUAUCAUGAUAUACUAAUAGAUUGUAAGUAAAUAAUUUAAAAUGAAAAGAUUUUAAAAUGAAAAAGUAAAAAGGUUCAAAUCCAUUAAAAAUUUAACAUAAUUAUUAUUUAUAUAUUUUUUAAUACACAAUAUUGAAAUGGCGAAGAAAAUUAAUUUUAUUUCAAAUUCUUAAUGACUAAUUCUGUAAAGUUAUUUUUUGAAGGAUUUAAAGUGACUAAAUUUGAAAAGGAAUUUUUAGACACUUGGGAAGCAUAUACAUAUAUGAUUCUUUUUAAACUAAAAAAUUUAUUAUUGUGAAUAAUAUAGUCAUCGAGAUUUCAAACAAUCAAAUCACAAAUUUUAAAUAUACUAUCAAACAUACCUCCCAAAAGUAAUUAUUGAGCAUUUCUUGGCGAUAGGGUAAAUAUUUAUGCGCUCGCGAACUUGUUCAAAUACUCAUGAUGAAUCCAAAGCGACUGGUAUAUUUCCUGAAAAAAAAAGAAGAUAAUAUUAUACAUUACAAACAGACCAAAUCAUAAACGUAACUUAUUUCGAAUUUUGCCAAUGAAACUACAUUUUUGGAAAAGAUUGUGGCAUAAAGAUCGGAAAAUAAACUUUACAUUUGUAGAAAGAUUUUGGGCGUAAAGAAAUGAAAAAUAAACUUACAUUUUUGUAGAAAGAUUGUCAUAAAGAUGAAAAUAAGUCCGCCUCCACCUAUCAUACACUCAUGAAUUAUAACUAUUGAAAAAUAAUGGCAUUUCUUGUAAAAAAUCAAUAAAUUAUAAUUUAAGAUAAAAAAUUUGUCACUUACUAUAAAAGUGAAUACCUCAAUCAAAAAAGAAGGGAACAAAAUAAGAAAAAAAAAUAUAUUAAACCUAUUGUGCAGUUAAUUGAGCUGGAAAAAAAAAUAAUUAUUACUUUUAUUAUUUUAUAAUUUAAAAAUCAGGAAAGCUAUUAUAUAUAAAAAUAUAUAAUAGAAAAAGAAGCCAAAUUUAGCAAUAUCAAAAAAUAAUUGUAUGUAAUGGUUAUGAUUUCUUCUAAUAUUAAAUAGUGUAUAUAUAAUUUAAUUAAAAAUUCAGUUGUAUAUAAACUUUCAUUUAAAUAUAUAUAUUAUAUAUUACUAUAUAUAUAUAAUAUACUAUAUUAAGCCAAAAAAUUAAAUAAAAUUAUAACAAACACCUACUGCAAUUUUCCACCGCCGUCCGUCUCUUUCCUAUGAGACGCGCCGUUCCUCGCUCGCUAUCAUCCUGCAAUGAUUAAAAGUAAAACGCGCGAGAGAUCGUUAGAGAACCUAAACAAAGAGAAAUAGAGAGAACAACUAUAAAAGUUGAAUACGGCCUCUAUCCAAGAAGAAGGGAAAAAAAAAAUUAACUGUUGUUUCUAGUUAAGGAAAAAAACUGUUGUGCAGUUAGAAAAAAAAUAACUAUUGUGUAGUUAAGAAAAAAAACUUAUUAUUUCUAUUAUUUUAAUAUUAAAAAUAAGUAAAGCUAUUAUAGUAUAGAAAAAAUAUAUAUAAAACAAGAAGACCAAAUUUUACCAAAUAUUUAAAUAAUUUGUAUGUAUGUGUUAUGAUUUCUUACUAAUAUUUAAAUAUUUUGUAUAAUAAUUAAUUAAAAUAGUUAUUAUAUUAAUUUGGUAUGUAGGUUUAUAAUUUCUCUAAUUACUUAAAGUAUUUGUAUAGUAAUUUAAUUAAAAUAGUUGUUAGUAAUUCCUCUAAAUUACUUAAAUAUUAUUAGUAUAUAUAAUUUAAUUAAAAAUAGUUGUUAUAUUUCCUCUAAUUAUUAAAUAUUAUAAAUAAUUAAUUAAAAUAGUGGUAUGAUAUAUAUAUAUAUAUAUAGCCGACGUGGCAGAACAUUGAAACCUUUUUUUGUAAGUGCGGCCAGUGGCAUCAUUUGGUUUCAAUUUGGAACAGAUAUUUUCUAAAUUAAUAUAUAUAUAUAUAUAUAGUAAAGGUAGAGACCCGCUCUUUCCAGCGGAUUAAUAAAUUACAGUUAUUAAUCGACAAAAAUUUCUUAAUAAAAUAAAAGAUCUGAUUAAGUGAAUAUUUUUUAUAACUAAUCCUAUCAAUUUUUAUAAUUAUAAAAAUAAUUUUUUAAAAAAAUAAUUAUAAAAAUAGACCUUUAAAUGCGGUGAAUGAUUCACCACAUUCAUAACUUUUAUUUAGCAGUAAAAAAAUAAUAAAAGCGGUGAACCAUUCAUCGCUUUUACCAUCGUAGAAUACUAUAUCUACAAAUAAAAUUUCAACAGAUUUAUUUUUAUAAUAAAAUAAAAUUUUAGAAGAAAACUAUUGAACUAAAAAUUCCUGAUUAAGUAGACAUUUUAAAGAAAAAUAUAAGCAAACCUUAUAUAAAUUAUAUUUAAUAAAGUUAAGGGAUAUUUAAAAUAGUUGGAUAAGUGGAUAUCAAAUAUAUAGUCAAAAUAUUUACAGAUAUCAAAGUCCAUACAAAACAAAUAUUAGAAAUACAUAAAUGGACUGAGGCAUGAAUUGCAAUUCUUUAUUUCUUGACUUCAUCUGCUUGAACAAUUUCAUUAAACCUACAAAUCAAUUAGAAUAAUUAAAUAUAUUUUUUGGUUUUUAUUCAACACGUAGUUAAGUAAGAGAAUUUAUUUACGUAAGACAAGUUGGGUUAAAUCGAUAUCUUUUGGCAGGCUGCGUUUCAGAUAAGUUCUCAGUAAGUUGUUCAGAGCUGGUCAAAAAAACAUAUAUAAAAAUUAAAAAAAAUUACACUUACGCAAAAUAUUAUAAGUAUAGAAUGGAUAAUUGAAAUAUGAAAUUUCUAUGUUUGGCGAUGCCUCUACAAAUAAUUCUUUACAAAUUUGGUUAUUGGUAUAAAGGGAAUGAAGCUGUUCUUCACAUUUGAUAAACAAAUUUUUUGUUAUAGAGAACUUUCCUUUGGUAUUUAGAAAUAGAGAAAAAAAUUUGAUGACUUUAAAAAAUGGUAUGCUUGACCUAAAUUUUUGGGCGUCGGGUACAAUUUAAAAAAUAUGUUUCUGACCAAUAAUUAUUUUAAUCAUAGGAACAUCUAUAAAUUGAUCUGAACCCAGUGAGAUAGCUAGAUUUUGAAUAGGAAUGUGAACUAAAUCUUGUACCAAUGUCACGCCCCGGGGUCCCUUUUCAGUUUAAAACAAAGCGGAAAAGCGUCUGAAUUUUUUUUUUUCUUUUUUUUCUUUUUUUUUUUGAAAUCCUGACCCCAGAGUAUGCCAAAUCCGCCACAAAUACAGGGAAUCCACUAUUCACACGGACAGAGUCUCCCCUGUAUUUGCACGACGUCGAUCAAAUACACAGUACAACCAGGAUACAACCACAACCAGAUGAAUAUAAAGAUAACUAUACAUUCAUACAUUCACCAUUCACAUCACAGUUUUACAUUCAAGGUAUAAACAGAAAUCCACAAAAAUCUUUUGAAAGCUGUUUCCUACACAGAAACCUUUAUUCUUUUAAAAACGCUACCACGAGGGGUAGAAAACCUUUUAUUNAUCAACAGAGAGUUUAGUCGCACUGUCAAAAAUCUCAGUCCUUACAACCAACUACCCAAAGACAGUAUAGUUAGUUAUACCGCUUUCAUCGCCAAUAAUAAUGUUGAAUUUGUACUUUUGUUUACAACAAAUACAUCAACAUAUAUUAAAUUUAUGUGCAGAAAGUAACUAAUCAAUGUUUAUUUAUAUUAAACUAGAAUUAAUAAAUUUUGAAAUUAAAAUUUGAUCAAAGAAAGGAAAGUAAAAUUAUUACCAUGGUAUAGAAGUUUGAUUAUUUUUAUCAUAAUUUGCGCAUCAAAAAGAAUCAUCAUAUAUUUUAAUUGCUAUUUUGCAAUUAUAGCAUAUUUUAUGCCACCAACUAAAUGAUGUAUCAAUAUCUACGAUUUUAGCCUGACAGGUGAACUUCAUAUCUUUCAAUAAAAACAAAAUGAAAAACUAUUAUAUUGAAAAAGAAGUGAAGAAAAUGAAAAUAAAUAAAUAUGUUUCACACUUUAUAAAAAGCUUACGUGUACGCUAAAAAGGUUUAGAUCUAACAAAUUAAGAAUGAUUUUUCGAUUCAAUUGCUUCUCUUCUUGAGUACUCAUAAUUUGGUAACGGCCUGUGCUAAUCCGCUAGAUUGAAAUAGUUGUUGGUAGUAAGUUGAAAAAAAAUAAUAUUGAUGUAAAUAAAGUGUUAAUAUUUACAAAAACUUAUAAAAAAUUUAAUAUAUAUAUAUAUAUAUAUGUAGAACUAGGCUGGAAUACUAUUAAUAGCACAAAGUCAUUGGUGCUAUUAGUUUUUUAGCCCUUGGAUUGAGAAAUGUGCGGUUAGGAUGAUGUGGGCCCCCUAGGUUGAGUGGGUAGUUGGUUGAAUAGUAUAAUCUAACGGGUAAAAAUAAUCAGAGGGUUAAAUCUAACGGUGGAAAACUCGAUAGCACCAAAUCCUUGGUACUAUCGAUAGCAUCCACACAGAUGUUGGGAGUUCUCGCACCAAAAUCAACCAUCGGGAAUUUUUUUCGAAACUCUCCAGGAUCUGCGGCAGGCAGUGCCUGGCACACUUGUCGAACAGGCUUGAUACGGAAUUCCGUUGAGGCGGUCGGGGUAACAUAGGAUUGAGUUACGUACAAACUACGGCGGGAAAGCCAUUUCGGUAACCGUAUCGACGGCAGACCGCGGGCCCGGACCCUCGGGGUUGCAAUUUUGUCGGCCUUGUACCGGUCACAAGAACCUGUCACCGGUACAAGAGCAAUUCGUGCAGUUAACGCAGGGUUUAUCGCGAUGUGGGCUUUUAUAACAGCCGCACGCACCGUUAAAAUUUUUUCCCCUAGGGCAGCCCCCUGAGCUGGAAACAGUCCGCUAUAGCAUAAAUAUAGUGGUAACACGUAGCUUCCGUCACCAGAGGCGACCCUUUGUCCCCUUGCGUGUGAUGUCUUUUGAUUGGUUGGGUUUUAAGGUAAACCGUCUUGCUCGGUUUGACGUGUUUCGUGGAGUCACUUCCCCCAUUCGAGGCUUGUGACUGACCUUGGCUUAGAGGGGGAUCUCCGACAUCUUGAGGAUUGUGAACUUGUUGAUAGCUCUAAGGUUAGUACUAAUCCUCUCCUCUAAGUAGAUUAUGCUCUUUGGUGAUGAACCCUAAAUAGGUUUAGGGCUUAAAUUUGGGCAUGUUCUGAAUCAAAGGCUUUUGAAUGAUUGUGAUCGAGCUUUCCAUGGUGGAUUGAUAAGCCGUUGGCUUCAUUGAAGCUUUAGAGAAUAGCUGCAACUAGAGGUCAUUUUCCCCACCUAUCGCCUAAUUUUUAUACGUUUUACGAUUGUUAAGCUAGAGAUUUGUAUCGUCGUUGAGGAACUUGUGUGACAAUGUUUCGUAUGAGCCCUCGGUUUGAUAAUAGGGGUAGUACUAGUGGACACAUUAUGUACGCCCCAAGGUUGUGUUUGCAUUGUAUCAGCGAACGAGGAGUUACGAUUUUGUGUGUUACUACGGGGUUUUUGUUGCUCAUUCGCUUGAACCAUCGUAAAAUGGGCGAAAUUGGCCCCGAGGCUCGUUGCACUGUUUGGCGAAAAUUUUGUGAGUGCUUGCAUUGUGCGAAGUUAAAUGGAAUAGAUGAAAUUGUACCUUUUAUAGAAAGCUAUCGAAAAUUCGCAUCUGAGCUUGACGUACUAACCACUCAACUUAUAUAAGCCAUUACAAGGCUAGCUACUAAACAGCAGAAGGGGAGAAGUUGAUUUGCAAGUGAAAAAUACCUAUUCCUCCCUAGAGCGGAUAUCACGGAAUAUUUAUUGACUGCUGGCGUAGAAAACAUAAUGCCAUUGCUUUGGAACUUGUUUAACAAACAGGUCACUUAACAGGCGGCCACCUGGUGAACCUAGCAAACUGAAACUGCAAUCUAGGACAUAUGAAGCGCACCACUGUGUAUCUGAGCCUAUAUUCUUUGAGAGAACAUGAUGACAAGGAAUAGCCAUUGACGAUACUUGAUAUAUUCCAGUUGUUAGACAUCGAGACUUGGUACUUGGAGAGGAUCAUCGCUGCUUUGCCAUUCUGUGCCAUAUCGCACAGCUUGUGGAGGUCGCUCCCUCCAACCGGCACUGCUGACCACGGCCUGCCGCCCGAGCCAUCUCCAUCUUUUCUCCUCUCCUCUAUACUCUAGCAUCCUCGCGCUCUCACACCACUCUUUCUCUCGGGCGUUUGUGUGUUGAAGACCCGGAAGCUGCCCGGGCACGAUGGUGCCCGGGAAGGGAGUUGGGCCGUGGAGGCCACCCAAGUGGGAUCGGACCGUUCCAUCGCCCUGACCCGGCGGUGCAACCGGGGCCCAGUUGGAGCUGCUCCGGCGUCUUCACACCCGGCGCAGGCCAGGCACCGCGGGGGGUCAUAGGAAGGGGGACUGGUACAGAACAUCGUUAUGGAAGCCCCUUAGAGAACGUCAACCGGGACUUGAACUAGAAGAGUCACAAAGAUCAUCGGUUACGAUUCCCAGCGUCCGGAUCGGAUUAGGUGGGCCAAUAAAGCUCAUCGUUUAUGUGGCGCGCCGCAACAUUGGUGGUCAUGCAUUAGCUCGAAGGCUGCGUCUCACUUAUGGCGGAAUUCAUCUAAGUUUAGAGAUUUUAUCAUGAUAUGGGACUUCGUCGCAUUAAUCUUAAGCCAUCUGCCAGGCAAUCAGAGCCCGUUUUCAGCGGGUCUAAGUUUCACGGCCUGAGACGCUCGGGCUUGUUCAUUCGGCAUGUGGCAGCACUUCACGGCAAGUCCGAACAUUCCGCGCUCGCCCACGAAUAUAUUAAUAUGCUCCGCCGGGACGCCCGGCCGCCGACACCGCUGGCACGCGCCGGGGCCCGGACCCCGCCGCCGGCGCCGCCGCCCAUCCGACGGCGCGCCGGCGCCUGCCGCGGCCAGCCGGGGCCGCCCCAAGACCCCCCCCCCAAGUCCCGUGGCGGCGCGAGCGAAGCCCGCGCCGCGCCGCAGCGCGCCGCCGCCCGGGGCCGCCCCGGGGCACCGCCCGACCGCGCAGUCGCCACCGCCCCGAGCGCACCCCGACGGCCGGCGGCCGCCGCGCGAGCCGGCCGGGCAGCCUCAAGCCGAGCUGAGCCGAAGCCGCGCCGCGUGCCAGCGGCCGGCCGGAACGGGGCCACCCCGGGGACCUCCGCGCCGACCGCCCGGCACCCGCCGCCGCGCGGCCCGGACGCGCCGGCGCGCCGGGGCGGCAGCAACGCCGGGAACGACCGAGCCGAGCGCGGGCGCGCGGGGGGGCGCCGGGCCUACUUGGGGUGGUAGCUCGGACGCGGCCACGCCAACGAGGGGAGCACGGGGGCGCACCGCCGCCGCACGCCGGGCCCGGCCGCCGCGCGCGCCGCCGGCCGCGGAGGCCGGCCGGAGCAAGGGGCGCCGGCGAGCCCCGAAAGCGACUGAGGGGGGAGGGAGGGGGGGGCCGGAGCGCCCGAGCGGCCCGAGCGCGACGGAACGAGGCACGGGGAGCCGGGCAAGGGCGGAGCAAGCGGGCGCACCGAGGGCGGGCGGGGAGACGCCGGGCCGCGGGGGCGGGCGGCGGCACGGGGCAGCCGGGGGGGCGGCGGGCGCGGGGGGGGGCGGGGGAUGCGGCGACCGAGGCGGGCCGGAGGCCCGCCGGGGGGAGCACGGGGAGCGGGGGCCGGGCGGAGCACAGGCGCACCGGCCCGGGGAGCAGAAAGGGGCCGGGGAGGGCGGGACGGCGCGAGCCGGCCCGGAGGGCGCGCGAGGCGCGGAACUCGUCGGGUGCGCCGCGCCGGCCACGGGAGCCGCUGGCGCCGAGCGUGGAGCACGGACGCCGGUACGCGGACCGGGCAGGUACGGCUUCGUGGAAGAGUUUGAAAGUCGCGGCGGUUGCCGGAAGCGAAUGCCGGGUUGAGCGCGCAAAUUGACAACGAAAAUGAGAGAUUUAGGAGUAGAUAAGAGGUCUGAUGCAAGUAGUUGUUGUGGGCUACCGGUGGCAGCGUGGUAAGAGGGUUGUGACCGCGGGAUUCGUUAGGUUGCCAGUCCGGAGCGUUGCUCGCGGAACGGGUAGGUGAUGAUCUGGUGCGUUUUUUCGGUCGAAAUUACCGAAAGAACUGCAGGUUUCGUCCCGGAUUCUUUCCGACGGUGUUUGGUUGCUUCGUGUUUUGUCGCUGAGUCCUUGUUGGCUGGUCACCAUCGUCAUUUUGUGGGUUCGAUGACGAUAGGUGAGCGAUCGGCGGGUUCCGGGUGUCGAAAUAGACACUUCCGGGAACCUGGAUCGCUACGAUUAUCGGCGCGAUGAUCCGUAUUGUUGUGUGACUUGUGUUCGCCUGCCAAGGCAUCCAAAUUGGAAUGUUUGGGGCAGCGGGUGAUUCGUGGUACGAGUCGGUGAGGUUCGGGACACUUAGGUGGUCCCGACGGCGUCCCGGUGUGUGGUUUUCGGGACUUCCGGUGAGUUACGGUAAUCGAUUUGGAGAAACCGAUUACGGGGAUCUUGUGUGGGGGUUUGGUGAGUCUCAUGUGCUUGGGUUAGUGGUUUAGAUACUGACUUGGUGGAUCUUUCUUAGGUCCGUAGACUUGUGCGUACCCAGUGUUCGCGACGCGACAGUGACAGGUGGAUCUUCGAGCUGGUAGUCGGUGAGAGCGUUUCACUUCCUUCUCCUGUUUUCUAUUCCAGUAUAUUAGCUCUACAUGUCAGUUGUUUGAUUAUCGUUUGGUAUCGUAUUCGUUGACUGCAUUGGUGAUUAUCGUUUGGUUAUCGUAUUCGUUGACUGCAUUGGUUAGUGAUUGAUAGACAUGUAGAGCAGGUUGCAUAUGUAUUUCAGUAUCUCUGUGGACCUUGGGUCCAGGCAACACAUCGACUCUCUUGUCGUGUGUUUUCGAUCUGGUUGAUCGAGGUUCGGCAUUGUACGCCCUAGCAUCUAUUUCAGUUCGCGCUUGUACGCCCUAGUUCUAUUUCGUUUGGCAUUGUAGCCCUCGUUGUUGGCUUCGGCCUAGGCACCGGCUUAGCGGGUUUGUUUUUGUUUGAGCAUACCAGCAUGACUUAGUCAGGCACUUGGGGGUAUUCAUGACACCGGAUCGGUUUGGCCACCGAUCGGAGGUGUAUAUCUAUCGGAUAGGUCGUCCUGCGGGGGCGAUGGAUCAGGUCGUGCAGUUAGUGACAGGUAGCGCUUGAGGUCUGCGGACCGAUACAGCAGCACAGAUUGGUACAGUUUCUGGUUCAGUACAUUGAGGCAUUCUUGCAUUGUUUUCUAUACAGUAGCAGGUUUUAUUUAUUGCUACCUAUUUAUCUGUUGUAGCUACUGUAGUUCUAUUUCAUUUCAAGCUUAUAGAUAUAUAUUUGUUUAUCUAUCUCCUUUGGUUUCCGGUGAUUACGACUUGCCUUCGUGGCUCUGUCGUACCCACUGAGAAAACCAUGGUUGCGUUCUCACCCCCCUUUUCCCCCAGGUGACAGAGACGAGGAGUUGGAUUUUGGGCUCGACGAGAGGACGAUCUAGUUAGACGGCAGUAGCGUCCGUCACCCUGGUUAUUUCUUUCCCGCCUUUAGUAGUCAUUUAAAUAAAUGGUUCAGUUAGAUGUUUGAUUGUUGUGAUUUCCGUUUAUGCAUGAGAUUAUGGAUAUUUUUAAUUAUAUGAGAUUGGAGUUUUCGAUCUGUGGUUUUGGUUCUGUGGAGAUUUGGUUUCUUGUAGUUAUGCAUCUGUGGUUUUCUACCCCUCGAGGUAGUCGGUUUUCAAAAUAGAGUUUCCGUGUGGGAACAGUUUUAAAAAGUUUUCGAAUGGUUUUUUAUGAAUGAUUGAAUUAGAGUAGAAAAACAAAAGCUUCCGUGUGGGAGCACUUUUAAAUAGGAUGUUUUGUAUUGUGCAUUGCAUCAUCCAGCGCCUAAGGAGUGCUUAGAGCAUGCUCAUUCUAAGGAUUGUUAGCUGUAUGGGAUUGCAUAUCAUGCUUGGUUGUUGAUGGUAAAUGUGGUGGUUGUGAUCCUGUUGUAUCGUUGGUACGCGUGCAAAUACAAAGGAGACUCUGUCCGAUGUACAGAGGAACUUUGUAUUUGUGGCGGGUCUGUACGUCGCGUGGGCCAGGUUGAAAAAAAAAAAAAAUGACACGUUUUCGCAACUCUGUUUUCAAAAUGGCUUUUAAAAUCGGCCCCGGCGUGACAUCAAAUUUGACAGGCAUGUUCGUUUUUACUUAAUAAGUCCAAAAAAAUUUUAAUAUUUCAGUUCACCCCGUUUGGUCACUGAAAAUUGUAUCGAACUGUAAUCUUAUCAGAUAGCGUGUUGGAUUUUAUUUCUCACUCUUACANNNNNNNNNNNNNNNNNNNNNNNNNCCCAGCCGGCGGACUCUAUCAUCCUCAUUAUUAUAUAUAUCUAGAGUCCGGCUCUAUGCUAUUAAUACACGAAGCCUUGGUGCUACCACGUUUUUCCACGUUCGAUAUUCUCCUCAUUUUAUCAUUUUCAUCCGUUAGAUCAUACUAUUCAACCACCACCACUUCAACCUAGAGGGCCCACAUCAUCGUAACCGUCAUACUCUUAAUCAAUGGCCCAAAAAUUGGUAGCACCAACUGAACUUAGUGUUAUUAAUAGCAUAGUGCCCUAGUUCUACCUAUGUAUAUAAUAUAUACUCAUACGGAGAGAGAGAAGAAGGAAGGACAAAAAAAAGAAGAGGAGAGAGAGAGAGAGGGAGAGAGAAGAGAGAAAAGUUGGAGGGCUACCUAUUAGUAAGCAAAAUCCCAUUGUUGCUGUCAUCGACCCGCAACCGACCAGCCCAUUUGGCCCGAUGGUCGCGGCGCCGCCAGUUGCCCGAACGGACAGGGUUCCUGUACUGCGGACAGAGUUCCCUGUACGCCUUCAAGGCACGCAAUCAAUACAAUACCGAAGGUUCCAACCAGGAACUGAUAUUAUCAAGAUUCGCUAUAAUGGACAGAGUAUUCAAACAAUAUAAACACAUCUAUAUUAUUCAAAUUCACAUUGCAUACAUUUUACAUCACAUUUCACUAUUCUUUUCAUCCAAAUGCAAACUGAGUUAUACAACUUUACUUAUUAAUAAAUUUGAUACAUUAUGUUCCAUUGUGCUUUUUUUCCAUUUCUUAACCCUAAGCUAUGUCCGACGGGUACUGCUAGCUUCUGGUCUCUGGGUCAGGGCGCUAUCUACGGAGCUACGUCUUUCUCGCGCGCCGCGGCCGGCCCACCGCGCUAGUGAACCAUGUACACCCCCAAAACAAGAGGGAGAGAAACCAAAUCCAUGGUUCCAUGAUACGGCACCCAAUGAGAAAGCUCGACCGAAAGGUCUGUCACACGCCCGCGACACGCCGCCUACAUUCUGGCCGAGGUCCCGGCGCCCGCCGCCUCCGAAUGGACAGGGUUUCCCUGUUACGGACAGAGUUCUCCCUGCGUACAUUAAGGCAUAGCAAUUAAUACAUUCACGAGGUUCAACCGGACUACUAAUCAAUCAGAUUUGCAAGUGGAAGGUAUCAUAAAAUAAACACAAUCUCUACGGGUGUCAGAAAAAUAUGAAACUUUAAAUCUAGCCUCAUAAAAAUAUUUCUGACAUCCCCGCAAAUUUUCAUAAUUUUCUGAGACUGUGCAUUUUCUGCUAAUUUAUCAGUCCCGUUUCCAACAGAAAAUUCUAAAUCUUCUGUUUUCGCUCCGAUUUCAGCACAGGUCGCUCCCAACCGAUAUUUCACUUCUCUAAAUCCAAUAAAAUAGUAUCUCAUACUAUUUUUAUUUAUUUUUCUAUUUUAUAUUUAAAAUCCGGUAUGUUACAAGGUCCAAGGAGGCACUGCAAUCAUGUUAGUCCAAAAACAUCUAUAGAUAUAUAAA